rnacentral:lncRNA from 1 species
AAAAAGUGAAACCCUAAUAAAAAUUUAGAGUGCUUUAUAUAGCGUGUGGGUUGUUGUCCUUGUUCGAUGCCUUCAGCUGCUUAGCCGAAGGUAGAACUAAAGCGGGCGAUGAUUAUAAUGAGAGAGGACUCUAGUGGGAAACACCCAAUUCCAUCGGAAAAUCACAAUCCCUAAUUUCCAUCAAUAUCCAAACAAGAAAAUGAAAAGAAAAUAUAUAGGUCAGAAUUUGAAGGUGCCGCCACACCCUUUUCAUCCAAGGGUUUGGUUUUGGUAUCUCAGAUUCUGCCGCCUUCUUCUUUCUCCUCUUCAUCUUUCCGUCCCUUCAAAUUGAAUUGGGUGUUUUUCCUACAGUGACAGAUCUUUCAAAUUUUACACUUGAGAUAUGAGCCCCUAAUUCUUCAGAUUUUUUUAAUUUGUGUUUCUAUAGUUGUAGUUUUUUUUCCUACACUGAUUUGAUUUUGGAUGAGAGACACUUGCAUGUUGAUUUUUGUUGAAAAUCUAGUGCAUACACAAAAAGCUCGAUUAUAACUAUGGCUUGUUUCUCAGUGUCAGAUCUACACUUAUUUUAUUUUAUUUUUCUUGUUUUUUUGUUGCACUGAUUUGAUUUUGGAUUGGGAAACAGUUACAUGUUGUUUUCUCGUUGAAGAAUCAGUGCGUACACCAAAAGCUUGAUUUCAGCUACUGCUUGUUUCUGAUGUUUUCAGAAAUUUGGUGGAUUUGUUGUGAUUGGGCAGCGGCCAGACAACCGUAGAGAUGGAAUCCACGGAUCUUGAGUUUUUCUCUCUCAAUAUUCUACUAAUUCCAUCUUACAUUUUCUUAUGUUUAGGUGUUAGUUAAAUGUAAAUGUUAAUUUUCUGCAUUUGCACAUUUAUGUUUUCUUUUAAUUUGAUGGGAUCUCGGAGCUUUCAGAUUCAUGUUAAUAAAUAGUGAAGAAUUUGAUGGGAACUCGGAGCUCUCAUUUUUUUAUACAUGUUAUAAAUUGGUUACUUUUCUUAAUUUGUUUACAUUUUUAAUGCAUUAAUAUGUUUAUUUACACCUGAUUGAGAAGAGUAUCUUUUAGAAGAUGACCUUCACAAGGAUAUAGAAUUCCUUGUCCAUCUAUUUCUAUACAUUUGCUUCCUCCGUUACCUUUUAAAUGUUAUUUUUUAAAAAUUAAUUUUUUUCCCCACAAUAUCUUUAUUUUUUUAGUAAUUUAUUUAUUUAUUUUUUCUCUAUAAUAAAUGAUUGAAUAAUUUUGAUAAUAUUACUUCAAUAUUACAUUGAACUUUAAAAUACCAAUUAAAAAUAAACAAUGUUUUUCUUCUAAAAAGUAACUUAAAAAGUAAGAGAGGGUGUACUAUUUUCUUUGGGAGAAGGAAGAGACAAGAGGACCGGAAACACAUACUCCUUUCAUUUUUGAUUUUGGGUGAAAAGUCAAAAAUAAUUUAUAAUAAAAAAUGGAGUUGGUUUUGGGUGAAAAGUCAAAAAUGAUUUAUAGUAAUAAAAAACGGAGGGAAUAUUUUCGUAUGAAAGCAGCUACAACAUCUUGGGGGAGAGACCUUUUAUCUAAACGUUUGAAAUAGUGGUUAUUGACUAUCAAUAUGAAAAUAAAAAGAGAUUUCUUAAGGGAGAGACCUUUUAUCUAAACGUUUGAAAGAGUGGUUUUGACUAUCAAUAUGAAAAUAAAAAGAGAUUUUUUAAGGUAUCCAAUAUAUUUUUUUAGGCAGUACACAAAAUAAUGAAAUAUUUUCUAUAGGAUUGACUUGAACAAGGUAAGAUGAAAUAUCUCUAUAGGAUUGACUUGAACAAGGUAAGAUGACCUUUAGUAUAGGACUUUCAAAUUAAGGGAAUCUAUUAUGUUUUAAAAUAAAUAAAAUAUAUAAUUAAUAUUUUAUAUUAAAUAAAUUAUAAAAUAGAAAAUAAAUAUAAAUUCGUCAAUGGCUAAGUGGAAACGGAGUGAGUUCAAAGCAUGGUGGUAAAUGUUUUAAGUUUGAUUCUCUUCAUUUCAUUUUUUAAAAUGACAGUUGCAUCAAUUUUUUUUCAAAUAGUUCGAUCCUUCUGCUUUCAUUGUUAACGUGUCGGAAUCGUGUAUGAUGUUGGUGUAAUGUAUGAUGUUGAAGGCGCGAAUACCCCUGAAACUCUUGUUGAUUUUGGUAACAUGGAAGAAAGUAUUUAUGUGAAUGUAUAAAAGAUUAAUGUAUGCUUUUUCAAGAAUCUUUAGCAUAAGAUUGUUCUUUCUAUUUUAAUUUUAUAUUUCAUACACAUUUUUAGCAAUGGGUUGCUUUUACACUAUUUUGAAAUUGAUGCGCAUCAAAUACAAUAUGAUCAAUUUCUUGAUUUACAACAAAAUCACAAAAUAAAAUAAAAGAAAGAAGAUAAAGACAAUUCAACGUGGUUAAAACCUGGAUUAUUGAUUUAAUUACACAUUAGAGAAUAAUGUUUACAAUUGAAUAUCAACCACAUCAUUUUCUCCCUUUGAUUAGGAUUAUUAGGGAGAGAUGAAAAUUAAUAUUCUAUUUAUAAGUACACUAAACUCUAACUUUAAACUAACAUACUAAACAAUUGACCCAAUAGACUGAUCCAAUUCAAAAUGCAAACUUAAAUAAUAAGUUAACAUACUUCGACAACUACAUUAGCUCUUCAACUUCGAAGAGUUUUUUCGACUUCAACAGAGUUUGCUACAACACUAGCUUAUAAUCCAUAAUAUCCUCCUUGGAAUAAACUCUGAACCUCGAAACCAACUACUUUUUUUCAUGCAGUCCUAUCAGCUGCAUAUAGUGAAAAAAUUUACAACUUGAUAAUGUCUUGGUGAUCAUAUCAGCAAGAUUGUAAUUAGUUGAAAUCUUCAACAUUCGACUUCUAUACGCUUAAUUAUCUAUCAGAAGAAAUGCAGUCUCACGUCGAUGUGCUUGGUUCGCUCAUGAUAUGUUGAAUUCUUUGACAAGUGUAUUGUGAGGGCGAAGGUUCUUAGUCCUUGUUUUAAUGAUGUCAAACCUUUUAGUAGCUCAUACUGUGUACUUUAGACGGUGUCAUCAUAUCGUAGAGUGCAUUCAUUAUUUAGCAUGCUCAAAGUAUUAAUUCAACGUGUUUAUGCAUACAGGAGCAUCUCAUAUAUGUUAAUAUUGCACUUGAUCAUUGUUGGUACCUUAGGUCCAUAAGAGAAUGGUUUGCAUUGACCAAAAUACAUCUUAAAAACUCAUUUUGACCAUUUAAAAUCUUUGAGUCGACUCAUGCUUUGGAGAGGUCGAUUCAUUCAUGCAUGUCAUUUUCUUUAUAACUCACGGGUCUGAUCAGAUCGAGUCAUAGGUCGAGUCAUUUCUAGAAAAACAAGAUGAGUUGAGUCAUCUCACUAUUGCGGUCGACUCAUAACCUAUUUUAUUUGGAUUGUGUUGCCGCGGGUCUAAACAAGUUGAGUCAUAGGUCGACUCAUUUCUGAAAAAAACAAGAUGAGUCGACUCAUCUCCCUGUUGUGGUCGACUCAUAACCUGUUUUAUUUGAAUUGUGUUGCUGCGGGUCUAAACAGGUCGAGUCCUCAGUGUGAACAGAUCGAGUGGUCAUUGAUUUCACUCAUUUUUCUAUUGUGUAUUUUUGCUAAAAGUUCUGCUGUGUUUUUCACUUUGUUCAUAUAUAUAUAUAUAUAUUUUUUUUUUUUUGAGUCUCAUUUUCAUAAAAUACACAAGAAAAGUGAAAUAUAUACACUAAAGUUCUUAUUCAUCUUCAUUCUUCAUUGCAUGUUUAAACAACUACACAUAACAAUUUUUGUUGAUCAUAGUGCAUUGUUGUGGUGAUAACGUCUAAAUAGGAUUAUGUAUCUUGUUUGGGUAGAGGUUUUUAGUGGGUUUUUCUUGAAUAAAAUCUUAGGAUUUUGUCCUCCAAGAUUUGGGAUUUUUUGCAUAAAUCUUUGCUUCAUAGAUUCAGCCGAGUGAAAGGUUUGGAGAAUGAUGGGUUCAUUCGAACGAGUAACGGUAACCAGAGGAUUGUGAAGUAAGGUUUGGGUUCAAGCGUGUCGCGAUCAAAAUCAGCCGAGCUAGAGUUUUGGAGAACUUAGAGUUCUUGCAAUAAGGUAACUACGAUUGUAGGUUUGUUCGGAACGUUUGAAGCACUUGGUUCAACUUGAACCAAGGGAAGAGAAGUGAAUAGGAUCUACAACAACACUUAGGUUUGCUUGGUAGGGAUCAUUUCUUCUCUUGUAUAAACUUUGCAAUUGAUAAUAAAUAUCUCAUUCUAGUUUUAGAAUUGGGGGCAGAUGUACCGGAAGCGAGGACGAAAGGGGAACUGCCUAAACAAAUUUGGUGUUGUUCUCUCUUUCUCUAACUCUUUAAUUUCUACAUAAUAUGAAUCUUACGUGAAACUAAUUUGUAACUUCAUCUCGCUUAAUUGUUCUGCAUUAAAGUUGUUUGAUCAAUUGUUGCAAUCACUUUGGUUGUAACUAAGGAAAAUUUUGCACAAUCAAUUCUAGUGAAAUUAAGACUUGGUGUGGUGUGCACACCAAGUGUUUGCUAAAAUUAACUUCACACAAAUUUAUCAAUAUUUUGCUUGUUUUCUCAUUGUUUUAAUUCAUAAUUGGUGGUAGUUAUAUCAAGGAUUUGUGUAUUUGAUCGAUUGAUUAAGAUUGUUGUUGAUUAGCUUUAUCUUAGUCAUUCCAUUAGGUUUCACGCAUAUCCGAUCUUUCCAGUAACAAAUUAUUUAGACGAUCGUGGUCUAGGGAGCUUUCAUAACCUUUAAAAACAAUUUUGAAAAGCGCUAAAUUUUUAAAUACUGAUUUAUUCAACCUCUCCUUCUAGAUCGAUACUAUUGUCUAACAUGUAUUACACUUUGCAUAUCACAUUUAAUAGUGAUUGCUUGACCUUGAAGUUUUAUCUCUUUAGAAAAACCUUCAAGCCAUAAUGCUUCUUUCACAUCUUCAGUGAGGAUAAUAUACUUUUGCUUUUGUGGUUGACAACACAACAACCUUCUGAAGUGUUUUUUUACAACUGAUUAUUGUGCCAAAAAUAGUAGACACAUAUCCAGAAAUAGAUUUUCUGGAAUCCAAACACCUUCAUAAUCAGAGUCGAUAGAUCCUUCGAUUUCUGCUUUGCUAUCAUCACCACAGGCUUCACCAUAAAUCAUGACUUUUCUCAUAGCCCUAUUUAUGUACCUUAGAAUCCACUUCAAUGCUUGCCAGUGCGGUUUUCCAAGAUUGGUCAUAUACCUGCUUACAAGGAUCACUUCGUACGUUAUGUCUUGCCUUAUACAUAUGAUAACAUACAUAAAAGAAUCUACUAUACUAGCAUAUGAAAUGUUAUUCAUAAAGGCUCUGUCGACUUCAGUACUAAGACUUUGAGUCGUACUCAGUUUGAACUGAGGAUUAAUCGUUGUUGCAAUAGACUUUGAAUUCGACAUACCAAACUUGUCGAGAAUAUUCAUUAGGUAUAUCUCUUGAGAUAAGCAUAAACUUGAUUAUUUUCUCUCUCUCUAGAUGUCAAUCCCAAGAAUUAUUGAGGCAACUCCUAGAUCCUUCAUGUCGAACUUCUUAUCAAUUUCAACUUUCACCUUUAUAACAUCCUCAACAUUAUUGAUUUCUAUGAGGAUGUUAUCCACCUAGAGCAACAAAAUAACAAGUGAAUUUCCAGGUCAAAAUCUUAAGGAAACACAAUGGUUGAACUAGCUCUUCGACUUCGACAAAUCUUUUUCGACUUUGAUAGAGUUUUUUACAACAUUAGCUUAUAACCAAUAAGCUAUUACACAUUUUGAGUAAAUGUUAUGAAUACUUAGCAGUAUAAUUUAACCAUCCCAUUUUGGUUUUCAAUUUUAUUCAUGUCUUUUAGAUUGUCAUUAUUACAGUAUAUAUGGCCUUGAUAUUUAGGCAUCUAUUAUAUUCAUCAUAGUAUUUUGAAUAUUUUCAAACUUCAUUCUGUUAACUUCGAUAUUUGAUAUAUUAUCAAGAGAUGUUACAAAGUAUGGUAAUUUUCACUUGUGACAAACUAAUCAAUGUUGAUUCUAAUACUAUUUUUAUUAUUUAUUUAGACUAAUGAAAAGAUUGUCGCGAUAUUAAGGUCAUAGGUGGGCGUUGUUAUAGCUAAUAUUGUUGCUGAGGAAUACAAGAAUUUGGCAGAGAAGUGAGUGCAGUAAAAUAUUUUUAUUUGACGAAUACAAGAAUAUAUUUUUUUAAAGUGUAUUUUUUAUUAUUAAUAUUCCAUUUUUAUUAUUUCCCCCGAGCAUCUACAAAAUUAGGACCAACCCUAGCCCUAUAGUUUUCGGAGAUGCAUCUUCGGACGCAUCCAAUACACACCUAGCAUAUGCCAUUAUCAGUGACACUCUAUAAAUUGAGUUUUAUUUAUUUAUUUUGGAGAUGCAUCUUCGGGAUAUUUCAAGAAAAUAUUCAUAAUUGAUCAACUCAGUUGAAAUUCCGGUGAUGCUUCUUUGGAAGUUUGGAUGGGAUUUUGAAAUAUUUUGGCACCUUUACAUGUCAGAUAUUUUUGGAGAUACAUCUCCAAAAUAAUCUAAUAAAACAUACAGCUACAUGAUCACGCAUCCAUUAUUGUUUUUCUUUAUAAACCCUCACAAAAAACCCUUCCAUUCUUAAUCCACAUUUUUAGGUUGUCAUACCCCAAAUUUCCCCCACCUAAAGACAUUCAUCCGUAUUUCAGUUAUCCGUAUUCACUAGUUUACAUCCGUUCAUCUGCACGAAUCUACCUCUAUGAUUCAUUAGGUAGUUCAUAUGCAUCUUAUCUCAUGCUCAUGUUUAAGAUCCCAUUUCCAUGCAUGGGUCGUGAUUAAUUAAUCAUCGAGUAAUUAGUCUUGUUUGUCUCACUUUGCUAAGAUUAGUGCAUACACCCUUAUCAUGCGUACAUUUUUCCUUAAUACACCAUUUCGUUCAAUUUAGAAAUAUUUGCGAAUCCCACGCCAUUUGAAUCUACCAUCCAGAAUCAUUGUCAUCGGGUUUCCAUCUUAAUGAAUAAAUUUUAUUUCAUGAAAUAUCUAACUUUGGUUUGGAACAUAGAUAUGAUUAACGAGAAUGAAUUUUUCAUAGAACGAAUCAUGUUAUUCAUUUUUCGAAACCAAAUUAAAAAAAAAGGGAGACGUUCACAACGUUGAACAUUUUAAAUUUCACUUUGAUCUUGAAUAUUUCUUUUUUUUUCUUUUUCUUUUCUUUUCUCUUCUCACCCAUAUUAAUUCAAGAUGGCCCCAAAAUGACACAUUAUUUUUGGUCAUAAUUUUCAUUUGAUCUCACCUUCUUCAUGAUAUGAUCCAGGGAUCUAUUUUGAACUUAAGGUAACAAGCAUGUUUUUAAUAAAAGGAUUUGCAAUGUAUCAUUAUGUUACAAGAGAAAUUUUUAAAAAUAAACUUGGUAUGUUUAAGAUUGGUGUCACAAUUUGAUUAAAAAUAGGGGAUGUGCAAGGUAAAAUCUUUAUUGCUACAAAAUUUCUUUCCUUGCCAAAGUUACAAAAAUCUAAGUCUUCAAUUUUUUGUUGUUCUUUUCUCAAGAAGUUCAUAGCCAUUUCUCCACAUAGCCUCUUGAUGCAUCUUGAUACCUGUAAUAACAAGCAAAAAAUCAGAAUUUCAAGAUUAAAAAAAGAAGAAGAAGGAUACCAUAAGUUACUGUUGUUGUUCAAACUUUAUGGUAGCAGGUUUUGUAUGUUAUAACCAAGAUGAAAGAAACACAAUAGAGGGAAGACUUACACCGAACUGGAAGGACACAUAAAGUAUCUCAGAAAGUUUUCCGCUUUUAUUGCUACAAAUAGAAUUCCAGCAACACCACACAAGAAAACCUAUGUCAGUCAUUAUAAGGGAUCAAUAUGCAAUAAGGGGGGGGGGGGGGUCAUUAACAUAAACCAUUCUGAUACAUAGAAAAUAGGAUACAACAUAAAAAAAAGAGAACAGAGGGAGCACAAUAUGGACGAAAAUUUGUAUGAGUAGGUGAAGUAAGGACAAAAUUACACCAAGCAAAACAAGCAUUUUCUAAAUUCACUGAAGAAAGAAGAUAUUUGCGCCUUGCGUAAGACUCGUUUCUUGUGGAAUGUUUCCGCCCAUUUUUUUAUGCUAACUCUGUUGUGUGUUUUCUUUCUGGAAUAACUACUGUGUGUUUGUUUUCUUUUCCUCUAAAGUUUCUAACUUUAAUUCUUUUGAACAAUCCGAUAUUUUGGUGACGACCCGUAGAGGACCUUGGAUUUGGGUGAGGAUUAGGAUUUAGGUCGUGGCCAUUUUGAGAGAGGAAGGAGAAAAUUCUUUUUUAGUUGGAGUGUUUUCUCCUUCGGAUGUCGUGAAGCGUUGAGGCCGCUGUCACGAAUGGUGGACGUCACGAGCCGUUGAAGCCGCCGUCACGUUUGGUUGGGGUUGCGAACAUUGAAGCCACUGUCGCGUUUGGUUGGGGUCGUGAGCUCUUGAAGUCGCCGUCACGAAUGGUUGAGGCCGCGACACAGGUGAUAGAGAUCACCAUCGUUUUUGCUUGGGCUGGCCGAAAAAAGUUGGAAUUUUCCUUUUUCCGCCGCGUGUUCGUGGUCGCUGUCUCGUGAGGAAGCCAUUUGUGUGUUUGUAUCGCCGAAUCUGUUGGAGACGGACGAUUUCGUUAGUUACAAUAGGAGAUUGUUGAGGCUUGAACCUCGAUUUAGGCCUUAAGGGGUUUGCGCCCUUCUUUCUCUUUCGUUCUUGGGGAAAAGUUCUUGAUUGUGAAAAGUUGGAAUUUUCCUUUUUCCGCCGCGUGUUCUUGGUCGCUGUCUCGUGAGGAAGCCAUUUGUGUGUUUGUAUCGCCGGAUCUGUUGGAGACGGACGGUUUCUUUAGUUACAAUAGGAGAUUGUUGAGGCUUGAACCUCGAUUUAGGCCUUGAGGGGUUUGCGCCCUUCUUUCUCUUUCGUUCUUGGAGAAAAGUUCUUGAUUGUGAAUAUCUGGUUGUGAUCAAUACUGAUUUUGUUCAGGUUUUUUUCAAAGAAAAGAAGGGAUGGGGAGCGUUGGGAACUAAUUUCUAUUUUAUGUGCUUGAUAUUUCGUUUUCUCUUUUGUGUUCCCAAUACUGUCAUUACCACACCUUUUGAGUAACUCUAGGUCUAUUGAAGAUGCCAACGUCACUUUACAUUUCCCAUUUAAUAUUAGUUGGCGUUUAGAAUAUGGUUGGCAUUCAUUGGCUUUUGUUUGGUUCUCAUGUGAAGUUUACUUUGACUAAGAGGGGGGCGGCGGUCUUUACUUAGAUCUAGGUUUUUCAAACUUGUCAUUGUUACCAUUUGGGUUGGGUCGAGUCCGACCUGCCUCAAAACCCCAUCUGUCUUCCACGUGGGCUUCUUACCUGCCCAAACCGUUAUUAUUUUUUAAUUUAAUUUGUUCUUUAUAGUUUUAUAUAUGUACCCACGGAUGUAUCCACCUUCCAACCAACCACUCUUGGCCUAGUGGUUGCAACUUCUUGUCUCCCACUAGGUCCUUGGUUUGAUUUCUGCCUUGAUUGUUUUCUUUUUGUCCUCAUUUUAUUUCUUAUAGAUUCAUCUUUCUCUAUUUUCUCUUCUUCUGUGAUUAUUUUAUCUAGGUUAAUCAUUUUUUUGUAUCUCCAUUUAAGUCAAAUUAUUCCAAAACUCCAUUUUUAUUAUUUUUCUAUUUUUGUCUUUUAGGUAUCAAAAUGAAACUUAUAUUUUUAUUCUUAUAUUUAUAAUCAACAUAUUUAGAUGUCCCCCCAUAUCAAGCCUUUAUAGAAACAUCCAUUCAAUUUCUUUGUUUAAACUCCUGCUUCGGUUAUUUGAAUCUCAAACCUUCACCUUAGCCUUUUUUUAAAAUUAUUUUUCAAUCUCUUUCGCAGUAAAAUCUGAAGAAAAAGAUUACUCUGGAUGGAAUACCCAAUCGUAAUCCCGAAUAUUAGGCCUAAGCUGUAAGAGCUUGCAAGCCAUAAGUAUUCGUCUUCUCUUCAAAACACUCCAAUAUUCAAAUCAUUUUCAUAAGUGAAUCCGAAUAAAAAGACUACCUGGAUGAAAUAUCCAGUCGUAAUCCUGAAUAUUAGGCCCAAGUUGUAAGAGCUUGCAAGCCAUACAUAUUCGUCUUCUCUUCAAAAUACUUGUAAAUAUUUAAACCAUUCUCAUAAUUAAAAUUGGAAGAAAAAAAUUGUCUGGGUGAAAGGUCCAAAUGUAGUCCCGAGUAUUAGACCCAAGUUGUAAGAGCUUUCAAGUCAUAAAUACUCGUCUUUCAAGCCCAAAAAUACUUCCAACCAAUCAAACCUUUUUUUUCUCGCGUGUUGUGCGAUUGAUCAGAAAACCUUUUUAUAAAUGAAAGACAUCUUGUAUUAAGAUGAUGUAAAGCAAUGCUUCAGCCAUAAUUGUUGAGUUGAGAUAAGUGACAUUUUUCUGAAUGUUGAUUUGUAAAUCCAUUCGAUGUGUGGUAUACAUCCGCUCCUCGUCUGUUUUGGGUAAAACAAUGUUUGCAUCGAUUAAUACAAUAUAACAUUCGCUAAAAUCGACCAACAAAAAAAUAUUUUCUACCCAGAACUACGUAAGCCUUGAGUUCUCUAUUGCACCCGGAGAUACGUAGGAGCAGGAUUUGUAAAUCUUGUCAGGCCCAUUAAUAAAAAACUUAGGUUUAGUCCCAUUCGUUGCAAAAAAUCCAAAAACAUCUCCUCCUUUCUUUUGAUUAUACUCUUCUUUCCCUUAUAAUAACUCGAGAAGCCUAACAUUUCUAAGCUAACACUAACACGCACAAUUAACCUAAUGGUUCCCGUUGAGUACAACGGACGUGGGGGGUGUUAAUACGUUCCCCUUACGUAAUUGAAUGUAGCGGUAAAUUCAUGAUCAUCAAGCUAUGGAUAAGCAAGACAUCAAAUAACAAGAGUCGUCACCGUGGCUUUAUUGUUUCCAAGGGAAAAGGGAAAAGUACGAACAAAACCCAUAAGUAAGAAGUUUUCAAAUCAAAACUAAUAAAAUGCCAGAGAUUACAGGUGAGGGGGUUGGUAACACAGAGGGAAGGUGUUAGCACCCAAAGUGUCUUAGGUACUCCUAGGGAGCCCUUUCUUGUGUGCAUAUGUAUUUUGUACAAAUGAUGUUUGCAAACAAAUAGAAUGGGGGGAUGAGAAAAGAAUUCAUUAAUUAUAUUUUUGUGUUUGACAAGACCUUCAGACUUGUGCCUACGUACCAACAUAAAAAUGAGGGAUUUCAAAACUCCGUAUGUUCGUGAUACACUGAUUUCAAAAAUGGAUGCUUUGCUUUUAACAAAAAUUAGGUUUGAAAGGCACAAAGGCCUAAAAAUAGGUUUGAAUGAGUUAGUUUUCUUUUUAGCUUUUGAACUCUUUAAGUCAAGUAUAGUUAUGUUUAUUUACAUGUUUAUUUAAGAAAAUAAGUUUAAAAUGCAAUGACAUAAGGUCAAAGUUUCUAGUUUGCAAAAUGGUCUAAGUUUAAGAAGAAAAAAAACAAGCACAAUCAAAGAAGUUUUUAAAAAGAGGGGGGGGGGGGGAGGAGAUUUUAAAAUUAAAUAAGUGGGGAAGAGAUUAAGAGACUAAUCCUAAUCAUAAAUUUAAAAUUUAAGAGUUGAAAAGAUCUAACCAAUGGGCUGCAAUCUAAUAGACAAGAAUGUCAUAUAGAAAUCCAAAUUCCCUUGGACAUUAGAAUCAAGCAACAAACAAUGCACACAAUAUUAACUUGAAGAGCAAGACAUCAAAUAAAGAUAGCCACAUCCAAGCUUAACAACUCCAUGAUCUUCUUCAAAUUUGCCCAUGUAGCAGAUGAAUUCCAUAAUGCCAUAAAUCACAGGUUCAAAAUAACAAUUUCACAAUGAUCAUAUUGCAGAUGAACUCAAAUGGAUCUUCAAUGAUGUAUUAGAUGAAGUUUCAGAUUACAAGCACUUGGUUACAUGAAAGUUGGCAUUGGCCAAGUCCUUUACAUGGGGAGUGUUGCCUAAAUUCUAAGUCCAGAUGUCUCAUAUCAAACCAACAGUCUACACAAGAUAUUUUUUAUGGUUUUGGUUUUUUUAUUAUGUACAUUAAUGGUCAAAGACCACACAAACAAACACAAUAUAAACAAGCAAAAUAUAUCAUAAAAUAUGGUCAAAAUGGACAAAGUGAAAAUGACAUUAACAUAGACAAUUAGAAUGGUAUGAAUAAUGGCAAAUGAAUAAGACUUAAAAAUAAAGUGCAUUAAAGUAAAUGACUUGAAAUUAAAUGUUAGUUAUUAAUGAGUUAGAAGUUAGUAUUGCUUUUUAUUUUAAGUCAUUCUUUGGAGAACACUCAACCCACUUAUCACAAGCAUGGAUCCCUGAACCAAUACAUCUUCCAAAGGACGGAAAAAAGGCCAAGUUUCCAAACAAUACCAUGAAAGAGGGGAGACUUACAAUCUCACUAACUAGAAUGCUAUGCCCGUUGUGUCAAAAAAUUUGCGCUAUGUUAAGCAAUCGUAAUUGGACUUAUGUAGAAGUCACAACUAUUUGAGGUCAGGCAAUAGAAUCUUGGUGUUAAUGCAUGUUAGAGACAUAGUAUAAUGGACUAUGCUCAUGAAAUAUACCACACACAAAAAGAAUAUGCAAAAGUGGUGGCCUAAUCUCAUCCAUACUUAUGUUGAUUUUACAACCAACUAGGCUUAGGAUGUAGAGAUAUCAUAGGUCCAUGAUAUGAAUGCAUAAAGAAGGGGAAUGAGAUGAAAAGGGAGGGGAAUGGAUCAAAACUCAAAAUGGACAAAGGAGGACUUUUACCAAAUUAAGAUCAUUCAUUCAUUUUGGGAGAUGGAAUGUACAUUCAAUCAAUCCCCUAAAUCCAAUGAUCUUAACUUAACAAAGUCAAGUCAACCUUGACCAAGGCCCAACAACACAAGUCAAACUUAUGCAAACAAUAAAAAUGGCUUAACACAAUUAUUUGAUAUUUAUUCAAUUUAAAAAUACUAAAAAUAAUGCAUUAAAUUAAAUAUGGUUUGUCAAAUUCCUAAAACCUCAUCAAAACACCAAAGAAAUGGCCAUGAGAUUUAUCAUAGGUCAAACAAGGUCAAAGAAAAUACUAAAAAUAAUGCAUUAAAUUAAAUAUGGUUUGUCAAAUUCCUAAAACCUCAUCAAAACACCAAAGAAAUGGCCAUGAGAUUUAUCAUAGGUCAAACAAGGUCAAAGGACCUUGGAGAAAAUAUUUCAGAAUUUUUAGAAACUUAAAAGUAUUUUUAAAUAAUUAAAAAUAAUAACAAAAUCAAUUAAAUCAUGAAAAAUAUUAAUAAUGAUCCAAAAAAUAAUUUUAAUUCAGAAUAUGGAAGAUGAUUUUAUUUAAAUUUUUUUAGAGAAACUCUCAUAUUUUUCGGAUCAAGAUUAAAAUUAAUAUGAAUUAAUGAAAAUCAAAGGAAUAAAAUGAAAAUCAGAAAAUACAAAAAAACAUGGACCACUUGACCUCCCUCAUUAAUUGAGGUGGCAGAUCAAGUGGUCCUCAGUACGCUUUCCACCAUAGUCACUAGUCAACGUUUAACACAAGUGGUAUUUACAAGCAACGCACGAGAUUAAAACAUUUUGAAUUGAUCAUGUGGCUCAGAACCUGUCCAACACAUCACCGGCGCUAAACCUCCGGUCACCUUCUCAGGCGAACCUCGCCAGACUGGUUCAGUCAUCACCAUCACAUAAAUGAAAAAGGAGGACAUGAUGUGAAAGAAAAAAUGGCGUAAAGCACGAAUCUGACCUCAAUUUCAACUAACUCCAAAUAUAUAGGAAGAUAUGAGGAGUUGAAUUUUGAGGUGUGUCAACUGAGUUGCUUCGAUUUGACCUCAAAGCAACUCAAUCUUCCUACAUUGGUAGGACUUCAGACAACCAAAGAUCCAAGAGAAUUCAUGAGAAUUGAGUGAGAAUUAAAAAGAAGAAAAUUUCUAGAAAAUACCUUCAAUGUUGUGCAGAACUUGCUCUUCCUUGCUUCAAUUCUUGUUUGAUCUUGCUCCAAUGACUUGCAGAAGUGGAUUAGGAAUGGAAAGAAGCUUUAGAUCCUGGAGUUUUUGAAUCUCCAAACAGUGAGAUUCAAACUCAAUUUUCAAGUGAAAAUUAUCAGGUUUUCCUUUGAAUUAUGAGGGUUUGAGGAGAGGGGGCAAAGCUGGCGCGUAAGGAUCCUUUCAAAUGAGCUCAGAGGGUCCAUAUUUAUAGCAUUUGAAAGUGUUAUUUGCACACUUGAAUUUUCUUCUAAAUUUGGCAAUGUCAUGCACAAGCUUGCAUGGGCGUGUACAAGCCCAUGAAGCAAUCCAAUUAGGUCCAAAUGCAUCUGAAAUGAGGUUGGAAUGAAGCUUAAAUGGCAAGGCAAUGUUAUGUGAUCAUUUGAACUUUAAUUUCCACCAAUGAUGCAAGCCUGUUAAAACCAUGCGCAGCCCUAGCAAACUUGGUCCAAAAUGAAUGAAUUAGGACUCUUUGGAAAGCUUAUAUCAAGAGGAACAACUCUUAUGUUGAACACGUUUCCAUUUGGAACUUGGAUCAAGGUGAAUUUUGAGGUGGGAGUUUGGAAAUUUCAACAUGUUGAAAAAUUUUCUAAGUGUCAAGCCAUAUACCUCAAUUUUCCACCUUACUAAACUUUUUAUGCGAGCUUCAAAUGAGAAAUGUGUAUUCAUAAAAGUUGUAGAUAUUUAAAAUACCUUCAAAAUGGUCACAAAUUUGACAUCAUUUGGAUUUAGAAUGAGAGAGUUAUGCAUUUUUUAAGUUGAGGGAAAUCACUUGUUUAAUGGUAUUGGUCCAAAAUGACCUAUAACGUAUCCUCAUAUCACAUGCUCAUAAAAGUUGAUUUAGAUUUCACUCCAAACAUAAAAGUUGAAGUAGACAUAUUUAAUUUUAUUGUGCAACUUGGAAAUAUUUCAUCUCAUAAAAAAUGAGCAAGUUAUGGUUUUGGGAAGUUGACUUUCAAAUUAGGGUUUAGACAAAAUGACCUAUAAUGUUUCAACAUAGAAAAUAAUUUUCCAAGCAAUAUUAGCUCUAGACCUAAACAUGAAAGUUGUUUGGAAUGUCAUUUAGAGUAACUUUUCUCUUGGAAUCAUUUUCAUAUGGUGAAAAUUGUAGGAGAUAGGGUCUAGGGAGACCCAGUUUUGAUCAGAUGAAUUCAUUUGGCCAACCACCAUCAACCAACUUGCUAACUUGCAAUUCUCUUGAUUUUUUAGGCUCAUGGUAGAUAAAAUAUGCAUAAGACGAUUAAUUUUGGAAUGUCCCUUGAGAAAUUUGAUCAAUUUGUGGGGAAUCUUGUUGAAGAAGUUACUCAGGAUACCCAAACAAACUAGGGUUUCCAAGGCAAAUCAACUUCAAACUCUUGAAGAAAACUUGAUCAAAGUAACAUAAAAAGAUCAUGGGGACUCAUAUAUGAUGCUUAGAGACAUUUUGGAUCAUUCCUUGGUUGUGUUCUUAGCCAUGAGGGUCUUAAACCCUAUAUAUGAACUUGAUAGAUCAAUGGGGAUCAUGCCCUACCUACAACAGAGUUAGACAAAUGCAAAGACAUAUUUUUGGUAUUUUUGUUAGUAAAAUGAUAAUAUACAAGUAUGAUACAAUCAUAUGGUGCUUGGUGAUCUCUCCCCAAAUAAACCCAAUUAAAUAGGGGUAAGGAAGAUGCCAAGGUAUGCUCCCAAUGCUAAUGCAUAUGAUGAGAUUGCAUGAGGGAUCUUAGGGUCAAAAUUUGGGGUCUUACAGCUGCCCCUAUUUAAGGACAUUCUAACUGAGGAGGUGAAGGUUAAAAUAUUUGUAUCGACUCAGUAGAAUGGGUUUAAAUAACAACAUAUAGAAACAAACUUUGGUCCCUGAUAACGCGAAAACACAUCAGAUAUUUGCCUUGAUUUACACUCAAAGAUCACACCAUUUUUAUUAAUAUCCCAAUUAUUGCGCAAGUAUUCGUGUUGUUUUUGCAGGUAUUUAAAUCUCCAUGCAUUAAUGAGCAAAAUGAAGAAAAGGAAGAAAAAGAAGAAGAAACAGAUGAGAAGCACAGCAAAAAGCAAAAAACAGAAUAUGCAGAAUUUGUUGAUGACCCUCACAAAUUCAUGACGCUCGUCACGACCCAGACUGUGACGACCGUCACAAGCCCAUGACAAGCGUCACGCGGCCACAAUAUGCGCUUUGAAACAGUCAAUCACAGGCACCCAAACGUGCCUAAAUUCCCUCCAACAAACUUACUCCCACGGAUUCCUCAUUCAAGCCAAGUCUUCCUUGAAUAUCUCAACCACCAAGACCUAAAGGAACACUAUAUAAAGGACCAAAAUGGGAAAAAUUGGGAACGCCUACAUUUACACUUACGCUCUGCAAUUUAGUUUUAUAACUUUCUAGCCUUUAGUAUUUUCUUUUCAGCAACCUUGUUUCCGUUGCCUUAGGUUAUUCGCCAUUCUUUUUAGAAUUCUGUUUUUCCCUUUUCCCUUCCGUUUUCCAGUUAGCCAUAGUAGUAGUUUCCUACACUUGGGAACUACUACACUUUAUUUAAUUUUUGUAAGCAAUUUGUAUUGAAGAAGCAGAAGCCUACCGACUUGUGGAGGACUGCUCAAGUACUCCAAGAAUCGCUAUACUCUGUUACUUCGAUCUCCAGGUAGCAGAAGCCUACCGACUUGUGGAGGACUGCUCAAGUACUCCAAGAAUCGCUAUACUCUGUUACUUCGAUCUCCAGGUUUUUAUUGAAUUAUUAUUAUUAUUGCCCAAUUAUUAUUAUAAUUAUGUUUGUCGCAGUGUUGAUCUGUUUAAGCUCUGUGUUUGCUUUAUUUAACAUGUCCGGCUAAAUUACCGGUGUCGGUAUGUAGCAAUUUAAUUUGAUGGGAUUUAAUAAUAAUCGGUGAAAACCGUUUUUCUCAAAACAAUCUUUUAGGCUGAAGUUUUUAAUUUAAAUUUUAUUAACUUUAUCACAAAAGCGUGAAAAUCUAUUUAAUACGGUUUUGCCACGAGAGUGGGAAAUUAACUAAGGUGAGAACCAACAAUCGCGAGAGCGUGAGGCUCGAGCUGGAUAGUAAAAAUUAGGCAUUGAGUUUAAAAACAUCGAGAGCACUUUAAAAGCAAUUAGAACUUGUUUAUUUUCAAAAAGUAGUUUUAACUUUAAAUGGGACAGCGAGAGCGUACAUUCUGACUUAAAGCUAUAGGCCGAAUCAACAACCACGAGAGUGUGAGAUAAAGCUUUUUAAAUAAAUAUUUUCUACUGAGAGAUAUCUGGCAUUUAAACUAUUCACCGGUGACUUAUCGAAUCCCUGACAAUUAAUGUGCUGCAUACUGAUUCCUUCCAUAAAUUCCUUCUUAAAACUACAUUUCCCUUAGAUUUACUAUUUUGCCCCCGAACUUCUAUUAAUCAUUCCCUUAGCUAAACAUAGUGUCGUUAGUAACACUAGUUUGACCAUAGGUCCAUGUGGGAUCGAUAUCUUUUAAAACUAAAGCGACUGGACUGUACACUUGCAGUCAAGUACCCGACAGACUAUAUUUUAUAUAUAGCCAGACAGGCAUCAAGUUUUUGGCGCCGUUGCCGGGGACCUGUUUUAGUCGAAUAGUGUGAUUCUUUCGUUGCACGGUAUAAACUAAGGUAAAAAUAAAAACUAAUCUUAUCUCCCUUCUUUCCCUGAUUGUAUGCCAAGUACUCGCUCACAAGGCGAUAACUUAGCACCUCCAGUUCCGGAAUUAGAGCGUUUCUUAUACGCGAGACGCUGAAUACACGAAUAUCAACAAAAGUACGAUAUUCCCGAUAUCUUCUCUCCUCCUAAACCAGAAGAAAAACCAAACAUGGCUGAAGAAGGACCACAGAAUCGUCCUCUUAAAUUCUAUGCUACCCCAUCCCAACAAGAACCUCACAAUAGUAUUGAUGCCCCCGCUAUAAAUCAAAACGAUUUCGAGUUGAAACCCUCACUAUUAUCAGCCGUCCAACAACAUCAGUUUGCUGGAAAUCCUACGGACGAUCCUAAUGAACACCUGACCAAGUUUGUGCAGUACGCAGAUACUGUAAAGGCGAAUGGUGUAUCUCAAGAUGCGAUAAGACUGCGCCUCUUUCCUUUUUAAUUAAGGGACAAAGCUUGGGCUUGGUUGCAAUCCUUGCCCUCCAACUCCGUUACAACAUGGGAAGAACUAAAGAACGUUUUCUUAUCCCAAUAUUUUCCGCCGAGCAAAACUGCUAUGCUGAGAGCUCAGAUCAACGGAUUCAGGCAAAAAGAUGUGGAAUCUCUCUACGAAGCGUGGAAGAGAUACAAGGACAUGAUGAGGAUAUGUCCAUAUCACGGUCUCGAAGACUGGGUGAUCAUUCACACAUUUUACAAUGGGCUUCUGUAUAACACAAGACUUACAGUAGACGCUGCCGCGGGCGGUGCACUUAUGGAUAAGCCAUACAACAAAGCCUAUCAACUCAUUGAAAACAUGGCCCAAAACCAUUGCCAAUGGGGAGGUGAACGAACUCCAGUGGAAAAGUCCCAGACAAAGGGUGGAAUGUACGAAAUCAGUAGCCUUGACCAUGUUCAUGCAAAGGUAGAUGCCCUUGUUCAAAAAUUAGAUAACUUGACCAUACCACCCGCUGCCACCGUGGCCGCUGUAACUCCAAACUGUGAGUUAUGUGGAAACCCUGGACACACUGCACAACAAUGUCAAAUAUUAGCAGGAGUCCCAACCGAUCAAGUGAAUUACACACAAGGAAAUCCCUAUUCGAAUACCUACAACCCAGGUUGGAAAAACCAUCCUAAUUUCUCGUAUAAGAAUAACAAUGCCCUAAAUUACACACAAGGAAAUCCCUAUUCGAAUACCUACAACCCAGGUUGGAAAAACCAUCCUAAUUUCUCGUAUAAGAAUAACAAUGCCCUUUAUGCACCUGGCCAAGCACCAGCUGUUCCGCCUGGAUAUCAAAAGCCAACUAAUAAUGCUCCUAACAUGCCUAGGAAGUCAAAUCUCAAAUUAAUGAUGGAAAGCUUCAUAGCUACCCAAGCUCAGACAAAUAAAGACUUCUUGAACCAAAACAUACAUACUAGUGAGCAACUUAAACAACUAGCGAGCAAAGUAGAUGCCUUAGCCACCCACAAUAAAAUGCUUGAAAUACAGAUUUCACAAGUGGCUCAACAUCAAGCAUCUACAGCUACUCCAGCUGGAACAUUUUCUGGACAGCCGCAACCUAAUCCAAAAGGACAUGCAAAUGCCUUUAUACUGAGGAGUGGAAAAGAAGUAGACGGACCCGUAGAUCCAAGACUCCAAAACCCUGCCAUGUACCAAAAACAAGAUAAAACCUCAACUGAGCAUGUGACUGAACCAAAGGAAAUAGAAGAUAAUACCCAAGAGGCCGAAGAGACAGAUAAACCUUAUGUGCCUCAACCUCCUUAUAAACCACCCAUUCCGUAUCCUCAAAGACUCAAAAGUUCUAAAACUGCGAGUCAAUUUAGGAAAUUUGUUGAACUUCUGAAGCAACUAAACAUUACGAUACCCUUUACAGAAGCCAUCACACCCAUUCCGUAUCCUCAAAGACUCAAAAGUUCUAAAACUGCGAGUCAAUUUAGGAAAUUUGUUGAACUUCUGAAGCAACUAAACAUUACGAUACCCUUUACAGAAGCCAUCACACAAAUGCCCUCAUAUGCCAAAUUUCUUAAGGAAAUCCUAUCCAAUAAGAAAAAUAUUGAGGAUGACGAAACAGUUACACUUACUGCCGAGUGUAGCGCCAUAAUCCAGAAUAACAUGCCUCCCAAACUAAAGGACCCAGGUAAUUUCUCCAUACCCUGUGUCAUUGGAAAAUUUGUCAUAGACAAAGCUCUAUACGAUCUAGGAGCCAACAUUAGUGUAAUGCCCUUAACCAUUUGUAGAAGGCUCGGUAUGGGAGAAUUAAGACCGACGAAGAUGUAUGUUCAAUUAGCUGACCGCUCAAUCAAAUAUCCUAUCGGUAUACUAGAGAAUGUCCCAGUACGUGUAGGACAAUUUUACAUUCCUACAGACUUUAUAAUCAUGGACAUCAAAGAAGAUGCCAGUACACCUAUCAUACUAGGAAGGCCAUUCUUGGCUACUGCCGGAGCCAUAAUAGACGUAAAGAGAGGUAAGCUGACAUUCGAAGUUGGAGAGGAAAAUGUUGAAUUCAUCUUGACCCAAUUCUUACAAGCGCCAGCUAUAGACGACACAUGCUAUCUGCUUGAUGUCAUAGACGAGUGCGUGAGAGAGAUGGAGAUGCAAGAAACCACAUAUUCUAACAUAAUGAAAAUCCAAAUCCCUCCAAUCAUUGAAGACAAUAAUUGGCAUGAACCAUACCAAAACGAAAGUCUAAGCAUAUGCUUAGCACUUACACCCAACCACAUGCCAUGCCCAAAGAAACCUGACUUGGAAUUAAAAGCACUACCAAAAAACCUAAGAUACGAAUUCCUAGACGCUGAACUGAAAAGACCAGUAAUAGUCAACGCUGACUUAGGACAGAUGGAAACUGAGAAAUUACUAGAUGUUCUAAGAAAAUACCCAACAUCGUUAGGAUAUAAUAUCGCCGAUCUAAAAGGAAUAAGUCCUUCUAUCUGUAUGCAUCACAUUACGCUGGUGGAAGAUUGUAAAACCUCUAGAGAACACCAGAGAAGGAUUAACCCAAUCCUAAGUACCAUAGUCAAGGAUGAAGUAAAGAAACUGCUAGAUGCUGGAAUCAUAUACCCGAUCUCCGAUAGUCAAUGGGUUAGCCCCGUUCAUGUAGUACCCAAGAAAGGGGGUGUUACAGUUGUAAAGAACGAGAAGGGCGAAUUCAUAUCACAAAGAGUUGUGACUGGAAGUAGAAUGUGCAUUCACUAUAGAAAACUAAACAAAGCCACUCGGAAAGAUCAUUUCCCUCUACCCUUCGUUGACCAAAUGCUUGAACGAUUGGCUAAGCAUUCUCACUUCUGCUAUCUAGACGGUUAUUCAGGAUUCUUUCAAAUCCCAAUCCAUCCUGACGACCAAGAAAAGACUACCUUCACAUGUCCUUAUGGUACAUUCGCCUACCGACGAAUGCCAUUUGGCUUAUGUAAAGCUCCCGCAACAUUUCAAAGAUGCAUGAUGGCCAUCUUCGCCGAUUUUAUAGACGACAUCAUGGAAGUCUUCAUGGACGAUUUUUCUGUUUGUGGGCAGAGUUUUGAAGGAUGUCUAUCUAACCUCGAAAUGGUACUCGAAAGAUACGUGAAAGUAAACCUUGUUUUAAGCUAGGAGAAAUGCCAUUUCAUGGUUCAACAAGGAAUUGUGUUAGGUCACGUGGUAUCUGACAGAGGAAUUGAAGUAGACAAAGCUAAAAUCGAAAUCAUAGAGAACCUUCAACCUCCGAAAACCGUACGAGAAAUAAGAAGCUUUCUAGGACACGCUGGUUUUUACCGACGUUUUAUCAAAGAUUUCUCGAAAAUUACCAAGCCACUUACAGGAUUAUUAAUGAAAGACGCUGAUUUCAUAUUUGAUGAAAAAUGCUUAACAACGUUCAACCAACUGAAAACAUCUUUAAUCACUGCACCCAUAAUGAAACCACCUGACUGGAGAUUACCUUUUGAAAUCAUGUGCGAUGCGAGUGAUUACGCAGUAGGCGCAUUACUAGGACAAAGGAAGGAUAAGAAGCUUCAUGCUAUUUACUAUGCAAGUAGAACAUUAGAUCCAACCUAAAUGAACUACGCCACCACUGAAAAAGAACUUCUAGCCGUCGUGUUCGCUUUGGACAAAUUCCGUUCCUACCUGGUAGGGGCAAAAAUUAUCAUUUAUACCGACCACGCCGCUAUUAGAUAUCUAUUAAGUAAGAAGGAUACCAAACCAAGACUUUUAAGAUGGAUCCUGCUCUUACAAGAAUUUGAUUUAGAAAUAAAAGAUAAGAAAGGUACUGAAAACGUAGUAGCAGACCACUUAUCACGUAUAAAAGGGAAUAAACCUGAACAAAUCCCAAUUAACGAUGAUUUCACUUACGAACGACUCAUAGCCCAAAUGGAAAGUGAUAUGUCUGAACUAACAUUAAACGAUACAGAAAUAGAAGAAUCCGUGGAAGAAAUACAUGCGAAUGCAACUCUGCCAUGGUAUGCUGAUUUUUGUCACUACCUAGCCGUCAGAGUACUUCCACCGGACUUAUCUUACCAACAGAAGAAGAAAUUCUUCCAUGCCCUAAAACAGUAUUACUGGGAUGAACCUCUACUUUUCAAAGAGGUACCGACGGUAUCUUCCGUCGAUGUGUUCCGGAGGACGAAAUAGAUGAUAUAAUCUCUCAUUGCCAUUCCGCUCCCUAUGGAGGGCAUGCAAGUACCUCAAAGACCUGCACUAAGAUCCUGCAAUUAGGCCUCUUUUGGCCCACUCUAUGGAAAGACGUCCAUAACGCGGUGAUAAAAUGCGAUCGGUGCCAACGCACUGGCAACAUCUCAAGACGCGAUGAAAUGCCACAAACGGGAAUCUUAGAAGUAGAAGUCUUCGAUGUAUGGGGGAUUGACUUCAUGGGACCAUUCCCAGCUUCUUUUGGUAAUAAAUACAUACUCGUUACUGUCGACUAUGUUUCAAAAUGGAUCGAGGCUGUAGUCUCUUCGACAAAUGACACACGAGUAGUGAUCAAGUUUGUCAAAAACAUUAUCUUUCCCAAAUUCGGCGUGCCAAAACUAGUUGUUAGUGACGGUGGCUCCCACUUCAUACCGAAUAUCUUCGGAAAACUUCUUCUGAAGUAUGGAGUUUGACACCGUGUAGCAACACCGUAUCAUCCACAAACUAGCGGGCAAGUCGAAGUCUCGAAUCGAAAAAUUAAACAAAUUCUUGAGAAGACCGUAGGAAUAUCCAGAAAAGACUGGUUAUCCAAACUAAACGAAGCUUUGUGGGCCUACAGGACGGCAUACAAAACCCCGAUAGGAACCACACCCUUCAAACUAGUUUAUGGUAAAUCAUGCCACCUCCCUGUGGAAUUAGAACACAAGGCAUAUUGGGCAAUUAAAACCCUAAAUAUAAACUAUACUUCCGCAGGAGAGAAACGGAUUCUGGACAUUCACGAAUUAGAAGAGCUUAGAUUGGACGCUUACGAGAACGCUAGGAUCUACAAAGAGCGAACCAAAAGAUGACAUGACAAAUGCAUUUCUAGGAAGGAGUUUAAAGUCGGCGACAUAGUGCUACUAUUCAAUUCAAGACUUAAACUUUUUCCAGGAAAACUCAAAUCUCGGUGGUCCGGCCCUUUCGAGAUCACCAAAGUCCUAAAUAGUGGUGCGAUAGAAAUAAAAGGUAGGAAUAAUGACCCUUUUAUAGAUAAACUUUUUCCAGGAAAACUCAAAUCUCGGUGGUCCGGCCCUUUCGAGAUCACCAAAGUCCUAAAUAGUGGUGCGAUAGAAAUAAAAGGUAGGAAUAAUGACCCUUUUAUAGUAAACGGGCAGCGAUUAAAGCAUUAUCAUAAUAUCGAAAAUAGAGACUAUUCGAACAGUCUCAGACUCAUAGAGCUGCCCGCUCAACCCAACACCUAGUACACCGCGACACUACUGUUGAAGUUACGACAUUAAACAAAGUGCUUAGUGGGAGACAAUCCACCUUUUUUGUUAUCUUUGUUAUAAACUAUCUUCCUUCUUUGCUUUUCUUUAUUUUGUUUGCUCCCCUCUUAUUAAUUCUUUGCAGUCAUUCUUGUUGCUACUAGUAACUAACUUAGACAUAUUGGAUACUGACAAACAGGAAAAUUACUAACUAGUUAGUUAAUUACUUUCAUCAUGCAACAAAUAGAGACAGUUUUCAAAGGCAGAGUUCAACGAAGGCGGUAUGAUUAUCUAGCCCGGAAGGAUAUGGCAUUGACCAUAUAUUACGAUGGACCGACCAUGGAUAAAUUAGGCAUCCGAGAUAGCAUCCUAUUUAUGUUUAACCAACUUGGGUGGGAGAAUGCAGCCAUUAAGAGACGGUUUGUCAUGUAACGUGAACUAACCUUAGAAUUCCUUAGCUCCCUUGUAUACAACCCCGAACAUGGUUAUAGGGAUAACAAAGGGUUGAUAUCCUUUAGGUUGUUUAGCAUGGAUUUCACCUAUAGCCGUCGAGACCUUGCUGACCUCCUAGGAUUCCCUAGUGGCCCUUUCGUCUUUACUACCCGCCAAGAGGACCUAAUCGAUGACAUCGACCUAGAUGACUUUUGGGGUAGCAUAACUGGAGAAUCCAACCCUAACUCGAAUGAGAUGCACUUACAAAAGAUCCAUAACCCUGCUAUCCGAUACUUUCAUUAAAUACUAGCCCACACCUUAUUUGGUAAGGAAGAAAAUAACACCUUAGUGUCUCGCGAUGAACUUUUCAUCUUGCUAUGUGUCAAUCAAGGUCGACAUGUCAAUAUCGUGACAUUCAUGAUGGAAAGAUUUGUGCACCUUGCUAAGAACAACCUUACCCCAAUAAUAAUAGGUGGCCUAGUAACCAUGAUAGCAGACGCCAUAGGUCUUGUGCGCCCACUUUAUGAGCUUGUACCAUUUAGAAACAUCCGACCCAUGGAUAUCGAGUUUUGCUUUAACCGCAGAAUCAUAGGAAACAUUGGAACGGAUACCUUUGAUUAUCUAAUCAGUAACGAAGUGGUUCGACUAUUUACCUUGCCUAACCAUACGAAAACGAGUGUUCACAACCGCAAUACUGGCUCUAUGACUUAGAGGAACACCUUAUUGAUCCACCUUCACCUCCCGCGACUCCGCCUAAAUAUGAGUGUAUCAAUGAACCUAUCCAUAUGGAAGUAUCUGACCCUGAAACACCUCUCAACUAUUAUAACAUUGAUGAAACGGUCCCUCCAUCAUACGCUGAUAAUCAUGCCAUGCGCAUCACCCGUCUGAAUGGUUUUCAAGCUGACAUCACAAUUGUGAAAGAAGAGAUAAAGCUCAUACGCUUUGAUGUCCUAGGCAUGAUGGAUAUAGCUGUUGAGCAGUUUCAUCAUCUGAACGAAGAUGUAGCUGCAUUGGGACAAAAUCGUGGCUAAUACUACUGACCACUGAUUUCUCCUACUCGCAUUAAGCAAUGAGGACACUGCUUUGUUUUGUGUGGGGAGGGAGCACAUUUAUUUCAUUACUUUUGUUUAAUUACUUUAUUACUUUUGUUUGCUAUGUUAUUGUUACUAUUAUUUUUCUAUGUUACAUUUAAUUUUAAUUUAUCAAUUCAAUUGCUAUUCAUUUAUUUCUGCUUAUUUAUUUAUUUAUUAUUUAUUUUUUGCAUCUCUGCUUUUUAAUUAAAUUGCUAAAGUUAUCAUAAUGUUGUUAUCAUAUGCUGCUACAACCUGUGUUAAAAAUUGUAAAUCAGAGUGUGACGAUCGUCACAUAUAGGGUGACGCCCGUCUCACAGACGUGACGACCGUCACGCAUCUGCCACGAUCGUCACACAACAUGCAAAUGACCGUUACGAGCAUCUGACAGUUACAGACGACUGUUACGCAUCCGUUGCGCGUGACGACCGUCACGAAUUCCAGAGAGCUCGCCUAUAAAUGCAGGCGCUUUUUCUUUCUUCUUCCUCAUCAAUUACCACUCUCAUUACCAUUCAGCUCUUCAUCUAUUAAAUUCUUUACAUUUUCUUCAAGCGUAUAACUCACAAAUAUUCCAUCCCACCCAACAAUACCAAAAGUUCCAUACACCUCACAAAUGGCCCGUCAAGAAAAAGCUACUCCCAACCUAUCAAUCGUCGUAUUCCGAAAUGGAGAAGCCAACAAACUCCAAAGAAGCAACUACCUCAAGUUCUACCAACGCUCCGUUCAAGCUACGAGGUAUGUUGAUCAUGAAUGCCUGACGGAGUUAGGACUUUUGGAAGGCGUGGAGUGGGUGCUACCUAACUCCAGCUUGACGCAACUCUGUACCACGCCGCAGCCAACCUACGAAGCGCUGACCCUGGAAUUUAUGAGUUCCUACUCCUACAUCACACCCCCUGGCGCUACCCAAUAUCUCACCAGUGUCGCCAUAUUUAGAAUGUUCGGCACCGAGUAUUCCCUAAAUCAAACCCAGAUAGCGAGAAUGCUUGGUUUCCGACACGGAGAAGGAAUCCACUGCUGCAUCCCAGAAGGAUGGUCAGAGAUAGCAUUCCCAGUUUGGCACAACCUCACUAACAUGAACGCUACGAGCUGGGAUACGCUUAACGCAACAUAUAUCCACAACCCAGCCAUUAGAUACUUUCACCGAGUCCUAGGGCACACAGUCUUUGGAAGAGUCAACAACCAUAAGGUAAACUCUAAGGAACUUUUCCUUCUUCACUGUGUGUUUGCCCAAAUUGCGUUCAAUGUUACUCAUUUUCUACUAGCCAACAUCCAGGCUGCUUGCAUGAGAGGCAGCCAGGCGUUUUGUUGUGGGGGAAUCAUCACCUCCAUAGCAUUAGGCUUGAACCUGGGAGAUAGGCUAGCCAACUUACCAGCCCUAUAAGCAUUCCUCGACAUCGACUACUGCCGUGCUUCACACCUAUCAAAGCAAGAGAUGACGGGAAGUAUCAUCCUGUUGUCAGAAAUAAAGUAGUUAGAAGCAUCAUCAUGCCCCACAGGAACCGUACAGACCCGAGAGAAAUGAAUAGUUGGAUUUUUGAUCUGGAUGCCCCCGAACCAAAUGAUGGAAAUCCUGGUAAUGGUGCAGAUGAAGUCGAGGAGGAGCUUGACAGAGGCAUGCCUCAACCACCUCAAGAGCACGCUGCAGAGACUUCUUCCCGAGGACAGCGGAGAAGCGAACGAAGACCCGCCUCCAUGGAAAGCAUAUACGCCAAGAUGUUACGACACAACCAAACAAUGGAAGACUGCCAAACGGAAAUGAUGCAAGCGGUCCAGCAAAUGCAGCGGGAUCAACACGAUUAUGCUAACUGGCAUGAUCAGGGGAUGGCGGAACUUUCAGACUAGAUGAGUGCCCUGACUUACCGCGUAGAUGCCAUCCAGGAGUAUGCUCAGCAUGUAGGAUUGGAUCCUACCCAACGAGGAAGACGUGAGCGCGCAAGAGCAAGAGCCAGAGCACGCAAAAGCCAACAGCGUAACGACGAGCAGUGAAUUUUUGUUUCUUUCCUUUUUAUUUCUGUAUACUGUCGCAUUGAGGAUAAUGCAUUGUUUAGAUAUGGGAGGAAAUCCUUAUCACUCCUCUACUUGUUUCUAUUGCUAAUAUUUUCAGUCAAUACAAUUUUUUUUGCUUGUCCUUAUCAAUCAUUUUUCCAUAUUUUGGCAUAACAAUUUUUUUUCCUUAAGAUUAAAUGCAUACCCUACGAGUACAUAGGUUGUCUUGCGGAGGAUUUGUUAGGAAAACUGAGAAAGAUUUAACAAGAUUGAUACCGUCCCGACAUCCUAGAUCCCUCACUUCUACGAGAUCAGUUUGAAUAACCAUUAUACCGACACCUUAAGUCUCCAUUCUAGACUAACCCCUAGUAGUUAUACUAGCAGUCAACACCGUCUCAAGCGUAAACCACGUGGAGAGCCGAUGCAUAUAAGUGUUUGAUGCCUAUAAAUUAAGAAAUUCCUUCAUAUUGUUGCUAUCAAGAAAUUGAUAAACGAACCAUACAAAAGGUUGCAAAGAUAUACAAAAAGAAGGAACAGAAACCCCAGUUGGUUGGUCCAGAGGUACUUGGUACUGGACUCAAUAGGCCGAACUACGGUUCGAUCCCCCACAACCUUCAAAAAGGGGACAUAAAAAGGGGUACCACACUAGUUACCAGACCCCCGUGCUAAGAAAAGGAUCAAAGUCACUAACCGGCUACUUCAUUAAUUGCGUGCGGAGGCAAAAGGCUUAAUGUGAUUGCGCUAGAAUGAAACCGGGUGAAAUAGAAACAGAGACACUAGGUUGAGCUAUAAUAGCAUGAUUCGAACCGACUUGUGCAAAGGAGAGAUCUACGCUAAAGCUGAAAGCUCGUGUCGUCACAGUAUCCUUGGUGUUUUACUCGAAUAUCGGCCAUCUUAACAAUCCACCUGACAACCACGUACGAAUGGGUAAUGUAUUCGUGCUUAACUUUGUUUUCAAAUUGUAUUUGCUUGAGGACAAGCAAAGAUUCAAGUUUAGGGGAGUUUGAUAACGCGAAAACACAUCAGAUAUUUGCCUUGAUUUACACUCAAAGAUCACACCAUUUUUAUUAAUAUCCCAAUUAUUGCGCAAGUAUUCGUGUUGUUUUUGCAGGUAUUUAAAUCUCCAUGCAUUAAUGAGCAAAAUAAAGAAAAGGAAGAAAAAGAAGAAGAAAUAGAUGAGAAAGCACAACAAAAAGCAGAAAACAGAAUAUGCAGAAUUUGUUGAUGUGACGACCGUCACAGAUUCAUGACGCUCGUCACGACCCAUACUGUGACAACCGUCACAAGCCCAUGAAGAGCGUUACGCGGCCAUAAUAUGCGCUUUGAAACAGUCAAUCACAGGCACCAAAACAUGCCUAAAUUCCCUCCAACAAACUUGCUCCCACGGAUUCCUCAUUCAAACCAAGUCUUCCUUGAAUAUCUCAACCACCAAGACCUAAAGGAGCACUAUAUAAAGGACAAAAAUGGGAAAAGUUGGGAACGCCUACAUUUACACUUACGCUCUGCAAUUUAGUUUUACAACUUUCUAGCCUUUAGUAUUUUCUUUUCAGCAACCUUGUUUUCGUUGCCUUAGGUUAUUCGCCAUUCUUUUUAGAAAUCCAUUUUUCCCUUUUCCCUUCCGUUUUCCAGUUAGCCAUAGUAGUAGUUUCCUACACUGGGGAACUACUACACUUUAUUUAAUUUUUGUAAGCAAUUUGUAUUGAAGAAGCAGAAGCCUACCGACUUGUGGAGGACUGCUCAAGUACUCCAAGAAUCGCUAUACUCUGUUACUUCGAUCUCCAGGUAGCAGAAGCCUACCGACUUGUGGAGGACUGCUCAAGUACUCCAAGAAUCGCUAUACUCUGUUACUUCGAUCUCCAGGUUUUUAUUGAAUUAUUAUUAUUAUUGCCCAAUUAUUAUUAUAAUUAUGUUUACCGCAAUGUUAAGCUGUUUAAGCUCUGUGUUUGCUUUAUUUAACAUGUCCGGCUAAAUUACCGGUGUCGGUAUGUAGCAAUUUAAUUUGACGGGAUUUAAUAAUAAUCGGUGAAAAUCCUUUUUCUCAAAACAAUCUUUUAGGCUGAAGUUUUUAAUUUAAAUUUAAUUAACUUUAUCACAAAAGCGUGAAAAGCUAUUUAAUACGGUUUUGCCACGAGAGUGGGAAAUUAACUAAGGUGAGAACCAAUAAUCGCGAGAGCGUGAGGCUCGAGCUGGAUAGUAAAAAUUAGGCAUUGAGUUUAAAAACAGCGAGAGCACUUUAAAAGCAAUUAGAACUUGUUUAUUUUCAAAAAGUAAUUUUAACUUCAAAUGGGACAGCGAGAGCGUACAUUCUGACUUAAAGCUAUAGGCCGAAUCAACAACCAUGAGAGUGUGAGAUAAAACUUUUUAAAUAAAUAUUUUCUACUGAGAGAUAUCUGGCAUUUAAGCUAUUCACCGGUGACUUAUCGAAUCCCUGACAAUUAAUGUGCUGCAUACUGAUUCCUUCCAUAAAUUCCUUCUUAAAACUACAUUUCCCUUAGAUUUACUAUUUUGCCCCCGAACUUCUAUUAAUCAUUCCCUUAGCUAAACAUAGUGACGUUAGUAACACUAGUUUGACCAUAGGUCCCUGUGGGAUCAAUAUCUUUUAAAACUAAAGCGACUGGACUGUGCGCUUGCAGUUAAGUACCCGACAGACUAUAUUUUAUAUAUAGCCAGACAAGCAUCAGUCCCUAAGAGACCUCAUGAUGCAUAUGACAUGAAUGUAAAAACAAUUUCUUUUUGGGGAAAGGUUGCCACAAAGGAAAAGAAAUCAGAGAGACCGAAGGUCCGCAGGAGCAUAAUGCAUUCCGUGAGGAAAACUAAUUGGGGAGACAGAGACUCUGACGGGGUAAAAGAGGUUAUGCGUAGGCCAGGGUACGACUUAAAACUGUUGGGAGACUAGAGGAAUUCCAUAGAAAUGGAAAGACUCAGCCGGGGAAACAAAAACAUCUGCAGGGGAAACAAGUAGAUCAAGAUAAAAGUGUCAUACUUGAAUCAUGCAGGAAAAGUGAAUUCACUAAGGAAAUACACACUCAACUCAAAUGGGGAAGAAAUAAACUUCAAUACAGGAGGAGCAGAAAUCUAUUAUCGGCUACCCGUUACUAGGUAAGGAGAUAAUAAAGAUCUGACAGAGAGGACACCCGUCAUCGGUUAGGAUGAACAUAUCAAGGAUGACUCACUAGGAACCGCCAGGAGGGAAUAUUCAUUACCGGUUACUGGGUAAGAAUAGUCUUGCUGGGGAGAAACUGCAGAAAUAGGAUUUACAACUACCAGUUACUGGGCAGAAGACCAAAAAUGAGAAUAUUUGUCACCCGUUAAAGUGAACAUAUCAAGGAUAAACUCAAAGAAAAGAAAAUCCGUCAUCGGUUAGGAUGAACAUAUCAAGGAUAAACUUGCCUGAGGGUGUCAAGAAGGAUACCCGUCAUCGGUUAAGAUGAACAUAUCAAGGAUAAACCACCUGAACAAAAAGUAGGAAUUACAUCUAUCGAAUGUUGGAUAGAAAACCAUCAAAGAGAAAAUCUGUCAUCGGUUAGGAUGAACAUAUCAAGGAUAAACUCUGUGAGGAAGAAAUAGGAAUUACAUCUAUCAGUUACUAGAUAUAAUACCACAAGAGAGAGUACCCAUCACCGGUUGAGAUGAAAAGGAUAAACUCUACAAAGGGGAAUGAAAAGCAAGAUUUGCAACUAUCGGUUACUGGGUAGAAGACCGCAAAGAGAAGGAAACCCGUCAUCGGUUAGGAUGAACAUAUCAAGGAUUAACUCUCUGGGGAAUCAUAAAAAAUGAAUCGACUAGGGACUCCACUGCGGAGAAAUCAGGGGUACUUUUUCCGGGUAUUGGGCAAGAAGUAGAAAACUACAAACUAAGAAGAAUAUUACCAGUUACUGGGUAAUAAACUCUUAGGGGACCCAAAACAUCUAUCUAGGUAAGAUCUAGAAAGAAACGACCAAUCAAGACUCAACCCAAUGAGGAUAUAACUCAAGGGGAGUGAUUUCAUCCAGAUAAUCAACUGGAGAGGAAACUGAAAUAAUAAUUAUCCACGAGGAAAUAACUCGGUGGGGAGAGGAGAAAGGUUAAAGUCUUUCUGCUAAAGGGGCUGACACUCUACAAUGGAGGGAGGACAGACAUCAAACUUGUAUAGGGAUAAAGUACCGCCAUAACAGAGAAUAAGAAUCUCAUUAGUGAAUCAACAAAAAAAUGAUGAAAUAUAUGAGUAUAUAUGUACAUGUAUAUGUGUAUGUAUAUGUAUAUGUAUAUGUGAUGAUCAUGCUGAUAAAACGAUCGCAAAGGAUACAAAGGUGUUGCAAAUUUGAAUCAUCGAUAUAAUUCUCGAUCAAUCCACAAAAGAGGGAGACGACUUGCUAGAGAAAAGAGAGAUCACCAUCCCAAAGGCUCAAACCUAGCCGGGGAAAGAAGAGAUCUGCUGAGAAAAACCGUUCUCGAAUCUGCAGGGAAUUUUAGGUUCACACCAUAUCAAAUGGGAGACAACCAUGCAAAAGCUAAACACAAAUACCUGCUCAAAAACCAGGAGGAAACUCUGACUGGGAGUGAAUCUGAUGGCGAUUGGUGGGGAAACCAAAGUUCUACCGCAACCACGCGAACUGCUGAGUAAACCGGUUUUCAGCUGGGGAAUAAACACAAAUUAUGUUGAGGAAUAAACAUUCCACAGGGGACUGAAUCAACCAACCCUUCUGGCUACCCUACUGGGGAAUAGCGGACAACGAUUGGUGAAUGCUAAAAAUGGUGUUGAGGAUGAAAGAGAAAUUGCGCCUACUGCUCGGGGAGGACCAAUACUACUCCACACUUAAGGCUUACUGCUUUCGAACCACUGAUGAUAUUUAUUUUAAAUGAAAUCAAUUGCUUUAAGAUUCAUGCUUUUAUAUGUUUAAGAAAAAUAAUUUUAAUUAAAAAUUUUAAUUUCAAAAUGAUCAUAAUAAAAUUUAAAACUAUUUGCUGAAGUAAACAAGAGUAGAAACAAUUGGAUAAAAGUUCAACUUUAUUUAAUGGAAUGGUAGUUCGUAAAUGAUAAGACUCCAUAGAUUUUUACAAAGUUGAAAAUGGUAAUUUACAUGGAAAAGGGUUACAUUGAAUACAAUGAUCAUUAAUCCUUCCACUAACUCUUGAUGUCCACUGUGUUUUUUUUUGCCGCUAUUGGGGAUGAUGAAUCAUUGUCGACCGUUGUGCUCAACAAAGUCUUCAAAAAUCUGAAGAUCAGCAGGAUGCAGUUACUUGCCAUAAUCCCUAAUUUUUGCAUAAAUUGCCCCAAGAUGGGGUAUUCAAUUUAUCUGGAUAAUUUUUCUGUUUUAUGUCUCUAACUUUUGCCUGGAUCGCCCUUUCGGGUUUUCAAUCCACCGAGAAACUCAUUUUUGCCUAAGCCGCCCUUUCUGUAACACCCUUAUAAAAUACCCCAAUAAUUAAUUAAAACAACAAAAUGUAAAUCAGAGUAGAUAUGCAAUUUCAGGGUGUCACACUUUACACUUCACACCAUUCACCAAAAUAACUUGUCAUGCUCAUUUAUUAAUUAAAAUAAAACAUUGCAUAAUUCGCAGCGGAUAGAAAUCUAACAACAUGCAAACCAUGUAACACAUUACAUGUAAAGUUGUUCAAUCAACCAAAAUGAAAACAAAGUAAAACAUCCCGUCCCGAUGUACAUUAGACCAGAGCAUGACCACUAAGAACUAGCACUAGACUCCAAGCACUAGCUUCUACUCAAUCACUGCUCGUUACCUAACAUAGUUGUAAGGUGAGUUCCUCAAUCGAUAUAAUAACUUAUAAAAAUCACUAUAAUGCUAAGUAAAUUAACACAUUCAUCACCCUAAUCAGAUCACACAUUCAGCAACGGAAACAUCAACUCAAAUCAAACUCACACAAACACAAAACACCGUAUAAUAUUGGAUACAUCCAUUCAUAUUAUAUCGCCAUAACAUACAUUAUGCAAUGAGACUCCAUGGCAUCGUACCGACUAUCGUGAACACAUAGUUCAACCUCACCGAUCAAACCCCAGAUAUGGCUACCAAGCUCACUAGUCCCACUCAUUUGAGACCUAGUGACUCACUCACUAAUCCUCACCAUGGAAUUAGCCUACCACCAUAAAGGCUAUGCUAUGCACGCUAAAAUCACCUAGCUCAAACAUCAACAACAAUCCACAAUAACCACUCACUAAUUCCUCACAUGGGAAAUUAGCUACCACAUAAAGGCUACGCUCUGCACGCGUAAAUCCACUAGCAUGCAACCAUCCAACACAAUCCACAAUGACAUAUGCUCACACUCUAAGCCAUAAACAGUCCAUCAUACAUCAUACAUACAUCACACUCCAAUCCACAAUAGAUAAUCACAGCAUAUGCAUACCAUAAUACGUCAUCAGCAUAUUUAUCACAUAAUCAUCAAUGUCAUGUCAAAUAAUAAUCACCGUAUUAGCAACAUCUACUAAUACCUGUACUGUUCAAAACAACGGAAAAGAUCCUAUAUAUCAUACACCAAUAUAGCCAAUCGUCAAAUAUGUACACAAUAUUUGAAUAUCAAUUUCCACUUUCAAACAGUUACCGGUUACCGCCCUGGGUUAACCGUUAACGCAAACAGAACGCCUUCCUGCAAAACUCGCAAUCUCUUUUCAUUCCCGGCCACCAAAAUAACUUUUUCAAAUCAUGAUACAUCUUCGUAGCCCCCGGAAUGAAACUCAGGACACUACGAUGUCCUUCCUCAAGAAUAUCUCUUAAGUCGGUAACAUCCGAAUACACACCCGAUACCAAAUUCAAAACACCAUUCUCAUCAACCUCUAAUCACCACCUGCGACCUUGAUUCACUAGAGUCGACUUAUCAACCAAAAGCACAUCGGAUUUCUGACCCUCUCUAAUCUCAAUCCAGAAUACCACUCGUAACUUCAACAUUCCCAUUUAAAACACUAUUGUGAUGUACUCUCAACACACCAAACUCAAGUCUCUAAACUGCUCAAUAAAUCCAAUCCUUAACCAUAACAUAGACAUAUGCCAAUGAUUUCCGACUCAAUGCAUCCCGCACUACGUUUGCUUACCCGGAUGGUAACUCAAACCAAGUCAUAAUCCUUCAAAACUCUAACCAUCUCCUCUUCUCAUAUUACAGCUAUUUCUGAUCAAACAAAUACUUUAAACUUUUAUGGUCACUGAAAAUCUCAAAUCUUGACCCGUACAAGUAAUGCUCCAUAACUCAGAACAAAUACCACAGCUGCCAACUCUAAAUCGUGUGUCGGAUAGUUCCUCUCAUGAACUUCAGUUGUCUCGAAGCAAAAGCACACACCUGCUAUUCUGCAUCAAAACACCACCCAAACCACAAAUGAAGCAUCACAAUAAACCUCAAAUGGUUCCGACGGACUGGUAAUAUCUGAAUAGGAGCAGUAGUUAACUUUCUCUUAACUCUUGGAAACCUUCUUCACAUUUGAGUCCCAAAACAAACGCUUACCCCUUUCUAGUCAACAUCGUCAACGGUAACGCCAACUUAGAAAAUCCCUCAAUGAAUUCCUAUAAUAACCUGCAAGUCCAAUAAAACUCCUUAUCCCUCAGAAACUGACUUCGGAGCUUCCCACCACUCAGAUACGCUUGUCGAUCUUAGAAGAUCAACAGCACACAACCUCUGAAACCCACAUGACCAAGAAAACUAACGUCUUCUAAACAACAAUAUAUCACAACUUGGCAGUUUAGCAGAAAUAACUUCUUUUCUCGAAGAACUCCUAAAACCACUCUCAAAGUUCAGCAUGCUCUUCUGUCAGAAUUUCCGAAUACACCAAAAUUAUCGUCAUAGAAACACACCACAACAAACUGCUUAGGUACGAGAUGAAAAAUCUUAUUCAUAUUAUCCAUAAAUACCCCAGCGCCAUUUAGCACACCAAACAGGCAUUACAGAAUACUCAUAAUGUCCAUAACCUUUGUUCUGAAAAGCAUCUUCUGAAUAUCCUCAGUUUUCACACGUAUCUGAUGAUACUCCCCCGAUUCUCCAAAAUCUAUUUUGCUGGAAAAACGACCACUUCCGCACCCAAAAACCAAUACUGAUCCAUCAAAUCAUCAUCCUCUAGGCAAAGGAAUACUCGAUUCUUGAAUCGUCCACUUUAUUCAGUUGCCUGUAGUGCCACACACAACAUCUCAAUAGUAACUUCUUCUCUUAACCCAUAACCACUGUGCGCCCCACGGUGACCUCACUCGGGACGAUAAAUUUGCUAUCCAAGCAGAUCCAGCGGACCUCUUCAUUAGUUAAGCUCACAGCAGACAGUGGUAGCGGAGGCCAUCGGUAUCAGCCCUACGUAACCAGGACCAUAAUCAAAUCGAAGACUCAACUUCACGCUCUGGCGUAAUUCAUUCACUUCCUUCAGGAAACACACUAACAGGAAAAUUCACACACACGCGCUGAGAUCGCAAAUCACCAAGUUAUCUUAGCCUCCAAAUGUCGGCAACGACAUAACACAACUCGCGGGCCCAUCUAACUAUCUGCUCACCACCUCCUUGCUUGAUACGAAUCGAACACUCUUCCUUCCUCAAUCUCAGGAAAGAUCACAGUCUUUAUCAAGACUGAGCCUUUGACCUAUAUUAACUCGAGGUCAAACACCAACGAGUUCAUACCUCAAGAUAACAUCAAAUCUGGCACUGUGAACGAAGACACACGAUGCGUCCAUCCCAAAGUCUCUAGCCAAGAAAUACUCAGAUGUGGCUAAUUUAAAACAAAUCCGAUUAGUUAGUAGUUCCUGAACCCGCUCGCAUGGAGUAUCAAUCACAUCUCCGCAUGCAUCGCUCAUGAUAUCUCUACAGAAUUUUCACAGCACAAUCCAAAGAUUAACGGAUGAUCUCCCCUGAUUGUCACUGCUAAUAGCUACAAGAUGGAGCCUAUUAAUAUAAACACGUACCCUCGGAAUCAAACGAUGCAGGUCAUGCAGAUGUCUCAAAGAACCCGAGUAACAGCAAUUAGAACCUUGCCUCCCGACUGGUUCUCUUUCUUCGCUAGGACACUGUGGACUGAUAUGACCCACCUCUCCACAUGUUGAAACAAGUCAAUUCUUCAUAGACCCGUACCGCACUCUGCCCCAGCCACAGUGACCACCUUUCCACAGCUUGUAAACACUUCUUCUCAGUGUGGUACUCUGAUGGAUAGCGAGUGUCCAUUGCUUGACGCACAUCUAUAUACACCUUAGCAGAGCAUGGAGCUCUCUCCCCACUAUGGUCCUCUUCAUCCACUGUGUCUCUGGAAACCUUUGCCUAGCUGCAUAUCGGUUGCCCCACGAUCAUUCUGAUUCUUGCCUUUCUGAUCCCUACUGCUUUGUAGCUCUCCUUGCUCUCGGCCUUGGGUAUCCUGUUCAACAAGAUUCGGUGCAUACAGUCAACAAGUCUAGAAAAACACUUCUAAUCGCCGCUGUAGUACCCAAUGGCCUUGCUGUGAUCUCGCGGACGUAAAUCCCAGUUUCUCAAACUUCACACAUUUGAAAAUUCCUCAGUAGCCUCAAUCAUAGGGAGGUUAAUACUUCGACACAUCUUGUGAACUUAAGCAGCUAUACUCUGUACAUAACAGCACCGAUUGCCCGCCUGCUAUCGAAUUCUAGGAACUCUAUUUUCUUUCUUUCCUCUGACACUCCUCUUGGAAUAGUACUUCCUCAGGAAUCUCUCUCUGAUAACCGCAAGUGAUCUCAAGCACCCAGCAGCUUCCAAACUCAAUGCGAGCAUGCACCACAAUCACUGCUUCCCAGCCACUCCCGCUCCUCUGACAGCAUAUAGCGACCGAACCUGGCCUCUAUGCGUGGCGUUUUAUCGGCACACUCAGGUCCUCGAAAGAUCUCUGGAUUCUCCUUCAGCCAUUCUGAGCACCAUCUGGAUUCGUAUGCUCCCUUGACAUUGCGAGGAUUGUUCUCUGAACUCACUCAGUUGACGAGCAGGCUCCCAAUCCCACAACAUUCGGAUUCCUUCAAUAUGUACUCAUAGCUAGCAAUCCCGCAGUUCCUUAAUGCAAAGCCAAUAGACUCUAGAAUUCGGGCGACGCAGAUCGUCUCUUACCCUCUUCCAGCCUUCUCUAUUCUGAGUACGCCAACAACGCUUAAAACAAAUAAGUACGAUAGGACUAUGACAACAAACCACCUAGCAACAUACAAGGGAAACAGAAUAAUUUACGACUCGACUCAGGACCGACUAGCUCUGAUAACCACUAAUGUAACACCGCCUUCUAAAAUACCCCAAUAAUUAAUUAAAAAACAAAAUGAAAUCACAGUAGAUAUGCAAUUUCAGGGUGUCACACUUUACACUUCACACCAUUCACAAAAUAACUUGUCAUGCUCAUUUAUAAUAAAAUAAAACAUUGGCAUAAUUCGCAGCGAUGAAAUCUAACAACAUGGCAAACCAUGUAACACAUUACAUGUAAAGUUGUUCAUCAACAAAAUGAAAACAAAGUAAAACAUCCGCGUCCCGAUGUUACAUAGACCAGAGCAUGACCCAUAAGAGGAACUACACUAGACUCCAAGCACUAGCUUCUACUCAAUCACUGCUCGUUACCUGAAACAUAGUGUAAGGGUGAGUUCCUCAUCGAUAUAAUAAGCAUUAUAAAAUAUCAAUUAAUGCUAAGUAAAUUAACACAUUCAUCACCCUAAUCAGAUCACAGCAUUCAGCAACGGAAACAUCAACUCAAAUCAUACUCAACAACAAACACAAAACACAGCGUAUAUAUUGGAAUACAUCCAUUCAUAUUAUAUGCCAUACAUACAUUAUGCAAUGAGACUCCAUGGCAUGCGGUACCGACUAUUCGUGACACAUAGUUCAACCUCACCGAUCAAACCCAGAUACUGGCUACCAAGCUCACUAGUCCCACUCAUUGAGACCUAGUGACUCACUCACUAAUUCCUUCACGCAUGGGAAUUAGCUACCACCAUAAAGGCUAUGCUAUGCACGCUAAAUCACCUAGCAUGCAAACAUCAACAACAAUCCACAAAUAACUCACUCACUAAUUCCUCACGCAUGGGAAUUAGCUACCACCAUAAAGGCUACGCUAUGCACGCUAAAUCACCUAGCAUGCAACCAUCAACAACAAUCCACAAUGGACAUAUGCUCACACUCUAAGCCAUAAACAGUCCAUCAUACAUCAUACAUACAUCACACUCCAAUCCACAAUAGAUAUAUUCACAGCAUUAGCAUACCAUCAUACGCAAUCAGCAUAUUUAUCACAUAAUCAUAUCAUGUCAUGUCAAAUAAUAAAUCACCGUAUUAGCACACUCUACUAAUACCUGUACUGUUCAAAACAACGGGAAAGAUCCGCUACUAUAUCAAACACCAAUAUAGGUCAAUCGUCAAAUAUGUACACAUAUAUUGAAUAUCAAUUUUCCACUUUCAAACAGUGUUAACGUUAACGCCCUGGGUUAACCGGUUAACGCAAAACAGAACGACGCAUUCUCCUGGCAAAUUUUAACAGUGUUAACCGGUUAACGCCCUGGGUUAAACCGUUAACGCAAGACAGAAAUUAAUUAUUUUAAUUUCAUAACAGUGUUAACCGGUAAACACCCUGGGUUAACCGGUUAACGCAAGACAGAGAAGCUGUUCCUGCGCUAACACGAACGGAAUGCAGGAUUACCCGCAUUUUUCGCCAUGGAGGCCUUCCGGACUCCGAUUUCGAUUCCGUAAAAGCUACACGUCCAGAAAAUCACAAUCUCAAUCCAAAUAUAGGUCUAUUCACAGUUUUACCUUAAACUAUUCAUCCCAAUUCAAAGUAUUUCUCAAAACCUAAUUAGAGUCAAUCAAUGGCUUUAUUACUACCCAUCACAUGUUAAUCCAUAAUACCCAUUAAACGACGAUAACCCCCUUACCUGAGUUAAUCCGGCAAAUCCUUUAGCUUCAAGCUUUUCCCUCUUCAACCCUUGUUCUCUUGCUCUUCCUCUUUGCCCUUUUCCACUUUUGAAGUCGCUUCUCUGCUUUCACGUGAAAAACCUUUUUACCAAAUGGGACUCUUCUGGAUUCCAACUUUAUAUUCCAAUAAUAAUAAUCCAAUAAUAUUCCAAUUAUUUAAUUAAAUUAAUAAAUAUACUAUUAACUUAAAUUAAAUAAUUAUCAUAUUUUAUCGGGGUGUUACACUUUUGGCUUUUCAACUUAGUGAGAUGUUCUUUUCUUUUUAGGCGAAGUAUUUCUUGAUUGCAUCUACGUUCACAGGAUGAGUGAACUCUUCACCAUCCAUAGUUGUGAGAAUCAAAGCACCGCCUGAAAAGGAUCUCUUAACAACAUAUCGGCCUUCAUAAUUAGGAGUCCUUUUGCCCCUAGAGCCUGGUUUGAACGAUAAAAUAUUCUUGAGCACAAGGUCACCUUCUCUGAACACACGAGGUCUGACCUUCUCUUCUAUCAAAUUCAGUUGGUCAAACCUGGUCUGACACCAUUCAGCCUCAAUCAACUUGGCUUCCAUGAGCACACGCAAUGAAGGAAUCUCAACCUCUACGGGGAGCACUGCUUCCAUACCAUAUACAAGAGAGAAAUGGGUUGCCCCUGUUGAAGUGCGGAUGGAUGUUCGAUACCCGUGCAAAGCAAAUGGGAGCAUCUCAUGCCAAUACUUAUAUGUCACAACCAUCUUCUGGAUAAUCUUCUUAAUGUUCUUGUUUGCAGCUUCAAUAGCCCCAUUCAUCUUGGGUCUGUAGGGAGAAGAAUUAUGGUGCGUAAUCUUGAAGUCUUUACAAAGAGCUUCCACCAUAUUAUUAUUCAAGUUCGAUCCAUUAUCCGUAAUGAUCUUUCUUGGCACACCAUAACGGCAUAUAAUCUGAUUCUUGAUAAACCGCACAAUAACUUGCUUGGUUACGUUCGCGUACGAUGUCGUUUCAACCCAUUUUGUGAAGUAGUCAAUUGCCACCAAAAUGAAAUGAUGUUCGUUCGAAGCUUUAGGCUCGAUCAUGCUAAUCAUAUCAAUUCCUCACAUGGAGAAGGGUCAUGGGGAGGAAAUGACGUUUAAUAGUGUCGGAGGAACAUGGACCUUAUCCUCAUAUAUUUGACACUUGUGACAUUUCUUCACAAACCUGCAAUAGACAAAUUCCAUUGUCAGCCAAUAGUAACCUCAUCUUCUUCGCCAUAGCAUGUCCAUUGGAAUGGGUACCAAAGGAACCUUCAUGGACUUCAGUCAUCAACAAGUCUGCUUCGUGUCUAUCCACGCUUCUGAGCAGAACCAUAUCGAAGUUUCUUUUAUAAAGCACGUCACUAUUUAGGUAAAAAUUGCCAGCUAGUCUUCUCAAAGUCUUCUUAUCUUUCAAAGAUGCCCCAGAUGGGUAAAUCUGACUUUGGAGGAAACACUUGAUGUCAUAAUACCAAGGCUUCUCGUCUUUGAUCUCUUCAAUAGCAAACACAUGAGCUGGCCUAUUAAGAUGCAUGACAGUCAAAUUAGGAACCUCAUUCCAAUACUUCACUACAAUCAUUGACGCCAACGUUGCAAGAGCAUCUGCCAUCCGAUUUUCAUCUCGAGGGAUAUGAUGAAACUCAACCUUGGUAAAGAAAGUUGAAAUCAUCCUUGCAUAAUCUUUAUACGGUAUUAAACCAGGUUGAUUCGUCUCUCGUUCACCUUUGAUCUGAUUCACAACCAAAGCUGAAUCUCCAAAGACAUCUAAAUGCUUAAUCAGAGAUAAAUGGUCUCUUCGAGCCCCAUAACGCAAGCUUCAUAUUCUGCCAUAUUGUUUGACACUUGAAAGGCAAUCUAGCUGUAAAUGGAAAAUGAGUGCCUUGAGGAGUAAUAAUCACUGCCCCAAUGCCAUUACCAUAUUGAUUAACAGCUCCAUCAAAUACCAUGCCCCAACGGGAACCUGGUUCUGGCCCUUCUUCAAGCAAUGGUUCAUCACAAUCUUUCAUUUUCAAGUGCAAGAUUUCUUCAUCAGGAAAGUCAUACUGAACUGACUGGUAAUCUUUAAUCGGUUGGUGGGAUAAAUGGUCAGCCAAGACAUUACCUUUGAUUGCUUUCUGAGAUCGGUAUUCAAUAUCAUACUCUGAUAACAACAUCUACCAACGGGCAAUCCUCCCAGUUAAAGCAGGCUUCUCAAAUAUAUACUUUAUCAACCAAGUGCGGUAUGAUUCAACAGUAUAUUGGCGCAAACGCUUAGCAACCUAAGCCAAUGCGUAAAGGUUUCUCCGACAUAGACGGUGAACUUCUUACUGAGGUAGUAAAUUGCAAAUUCUUUCUUUCCAGUCUCAUCUUGCUGACCAAGAACACAACCCAUACUAUCUUCGAGCACAGUCAAAUACAUGAUCAAUGGUCUUCCUUCAAUGGGCGGAGACAAAAUCGGAGGCUCAAGCAAAUACUCUUUGAUACUAUCAAAAGCUUUAUGGCAGUCUUCGGUCCAAUCACAAGACUGAUCUUUCCAAAGAAGCUUCAAUAUAGGCGCACAUGUGGCAGUGAUGUGUAAAUGAAUCUUGAGAUAUAAUUCAAGCGGCUAAGAACACCUCUGACUUGCUUCUCAGUUUUGAGUGCAGACAUCUCUUGUAUUAAUUUGACCUUGGUUGGAUCAACUUCAAUACCCUUCUCACUGACGAUAAAUCCUAACAACUUACCAGAACGAACACCAAAAGUACACUUAUUGGGAUUCAAGCGGAGUUUAUACUUCCUCAAACGCUGGAAUAACUUCAACAAAUGCUCAACAUGUUCCUCUUCAUUAAUUGAUUUUACAAUCAUGUCAUCGACAUAAACUUCAAUCUAUUUAUGCCUCAUAUCAUGAAAAAGAGUAGUCAUUGCUCUUUGGUAAGUUGCACCAGCAUUCUUCAAACUGAAAGGCAUCACUCUAUAACAGAAUGUUCCCCAAGGUGUAAUGAAUGUGGUUUUCUCCAUAUCUUCGGGUUCCAUCUUGAUCUGGUUAUAUCCGGAAAAUACGUCCAUAAACGAAAAGACUUUGAAUUUAGUUGUAUUGUCUACCAACAUAUCAAUGUGUGGCAGAGGGAAAUCAUCUUUCGGACUGGUGUAAGGCCAUAAUUUUGACCCUAAGAUCCCUCAUGCAUUUUGUCAUAAGCAUUAGCAUUGGGAUCAUAUCUUGGCAUCCUCCUUACCCCUUUUCAUUGGGUUUGUUUUAGGAGAGAUCACCAAGAACUUUAUGAUUAUAUCAUACUUGUAUUUUAUCAUUUCACUAACCAAAAUAACAAAAAUAUGUCUUCGUAUUUGCCUAACUCUUUUGUAGGAAGGGCAUGAUCUCAUUGAUUCAUCAAAUUUACAUCUAGGGUUUGAGACCCUCAUGAACAAAGAGUACAACCAAGAAUUGAUUCAAGAAUGGUUAUGUACAUCAUAUAUGAGCCCCAAUGUUCUCCACAUGUUAUAUUGAUCAAGUUUUCUUCAAGAGUUUGAGGGUGAUUUGCCUUGGAAACCCUAGUUUGACUGGGUAUCUUGAGUAACUUCUCCAACAAGCUAUCUCACCGGGAUUGACAAAUUUCUCAAGGGGAACCUAAAUUUCAUCAUCUUACUGCAGUAUUGAUCGUAACCAUGAGCAAGAAGGGUCAAGAGAUUUGGAAGUUAGCAAGUUGGUGUGAUGGUGGUUGCCAAUGAUUCAUCUGAUCAAAAACUGGGUCCUCCUAGAUCAUAUCUCCUACAAUUUUCACCAUAUUGAAAAAUUAUUUCCAAGAGAAAACUUACUCUAAAUGACAUUAUAAACAACUUUAAUGUUGAAGACUAGAUCUAGUUUUGCUUGGAAAAUCAUUUUCUAUGUUGAAAUAUUAUAGGUCAUUUUGUCUAAACCCUAAUUUGAAAGUCAACUUCCCAAGGCCAUAACUUGCUCAAUUUUUAUGAGAUGAAAUAUUUCCAAGUUUCAAAAUCAAAUUCAAUGUGUCUACUUCAAAUUUGAUGUUUGUAGUGGGAGCUAAUGAUCAAGACUUUAUGAGUCGAUUGGGGUACUAACUGCAAGUGCACAGUUCUAUCGUGUAGUUUUAAAAGAUAUCGAUCCCACAAGGACUUAUGAAUCGAUAUACCGUUUUCUAAGGUUACUUCAUAAAGCUAAGGCGGAUGAUACUUUGAUUGUUUAGGGGAAAAGUUAAAACUAAAAUAAGAUCUAGGUUAAAUAUCAAUUAAGCGGAUAUCGAUAUGUAGUUCGUCGUAAUUAGGGAAUCAAGUCUUCGUUGGUUUCUUGGUUUUAAAAUAAAUCUUUUCAGUAGACACUAUUGAUUAAAAGCCUUUUCUCAAACUCUCGCUCUGUUGAAUAGACCAUGACUUUAAAUUAACGUAGCUGUCACUUAUUAGUUAAGUCCAAAAUCACUUUUUGAAAACAAUCGAAUCUAUAGAAACUCUUUUUAUAAAAAUAAUAACCGUUUAAACACCCUUGUCUCAAACUCUCGCUCUGUUGACUUAGAUUAUAUAAUUAAAUUCAAAUGCUUAACUCUCGUCCUCACAUUUAACUUUUAAAAAUACUUUUUGAAAAAGAUUAGAAUUUAAUUAACUCUAAAAAUUGCUUUCGCCCUGAUCUAGAAUUAAUGUCCAAUUUACACUGUCCAGUUAAAAACUCAAACUUUCGUUCUAUUGAUUUUAACUUCUUUAGUCUUUUACUCUCGUACAAAAACCUUGGUAUUAAACCUGUAAAUUGAGACCAUAAAAAGAGUGAUUUUAUUUUUAAACGUAAUUAAACCAACUUAGUUUUGAUUCCUUCAUUCCGCUUACUUUACAUACCGAUACCUAAAUAAAUUAGCCGGACAUGCUAAACAGAUCUAAACAAUCAUCAUGCUUAAAUAAAUCCAUCUCAGGCAAACAAUAUAAAUAAACAAUAAUGCAGGGCAUAUAUAAAUUCAAACAAUAAUUAAAGAACCUGAAUAAUUAAUGGCAAUCUUGAACACUCCACCACAGACCGGUUGGAUUUGUUCUUGAAUUCUUCAAUCGGACAGGAAAAUAAAANNNNNNNNNNNNNNNNNNNNNNNNNNNNNNNNNNNNNNNNNNNNNNNNNNNNNNNNNNNNNNNNNNNNNNNNNNNNNNNNNNNNNNNNNNNNNNNNNNNNNNNNNNNNNNNNNNNNNNNNNNNNNNNNNNNNNNNNNNNNNNNNNNNNNNNNNNNNNNNNNNNNNNNNNNNNNNNNNNNNNNNNNNNNNNNNNNNNNNNNNNNNNNNNNNNNNNNNNNNNNNNNNNNNNNNNNNNNNNNNNNNNNNNNNNNNNNNNNNNNNNNNNNNNNNNNNNNNNNNNNNNNNNNNNNNNNNNNNNNNNNNNNNNNNNNNNNNNNNNNNNNNNNNNNNNNNNNUUUUAAAAAUACUUUUUGAAAAAGAUUAGAAUUUAAUUAACUCUAAAAAUUGCUUUCGCCCUGAUCUAGAAUUAAUGUCCAAUUUACACUGUCCAGUUAAAAACUCAAACUUUCGUUCUAUUGAUUUUAACUUCUUUAGUCUUUUACUCUCAUACAAAAACCUUGGUAUUAAACCUGUAAAUUGAGACCAUAAAAAGAGUGAUUUUAUUCUUGAACGUACUUAAGCCAACUUAGUUUUGAUUCCUUCAUUCCGCUUACUUUACAUACCGAUACAUAAAUAAAUUAGCCAGACAUGCUAAACAGAUCUAAACAAUCAUCACGCUUAAAUAGAAACAUCUCAGGCAAAUAAUGUAAAUAAACAAUAAAGCAGGGCAUAUAUAAAUUCAAACAAUAACUAAAGAACCUGAAUAAUUAAUAGAGUCUUGAACACUCCACCACAGACCGGUUGGAUUUGUUCUUGAAUUCUUCAAUCGGACAAAAAAUAAAAGUGAAGGAAUAAAAAACCUAGGGUCUAACGUAAGGUUAGAUCCGGUAAAAGAUACACAAUAGUUUCCGGUGUAGAAACUAUUGUGUGAAAAAUUAAUUAAGUGCUGAAAGAUUGACUGGAAAAGAAAAUAAAAAUUGCAAAGANGUUACCUGAGACAAAUAAAAGGAAAAAUACCAAGUAAUAUCGAAUAAAAUGAAAUAAAUCGAAACAAAUAAUAAUAUAAUUUAAUUAAAUCGAGUCCAAAAAUGUGAUAUUAUUUCAUGUUAUCAGCUAAUUCAACUUUUUUGAGCUUGUGAUAUGAGGCUACAUUAUAGGUCACUUUUGACAUAUACCAUUGAUCAAGUGAUUUUUCCAAACUUCAAAAAUGCAUAACUCUAUCAUUUCAAAUCCGAAUGACAUGAAAUUUGUGACCAUUUUGAAAUUAUUUUAGAGAGAUACAACUUUGAUGAAGACACUUUUCUCAUUUGAAGCUCCCAUAAAAAGUUAAGCAAGGUGGAAUAUUGAGACAUAUGGCUUGACACUUAGAAAAAUUUUGAUAUGUCAAAUUUUUCCAAAAUUCCACUUCAAGUUUCUCCAAGUUCCAAGAUUCAAAUGAAAAAGUGUUCAACAUCAAACUUGUUCCUCUUGAUCUCACCUUUCCAAAGAGCUAAAAUUCAUCCAUUUUGGACUUGAAAUGCAUAGGCUGCGCAUGGCUUAAACAGGAUGAUAUCAUUUGGCAUGGAUCCAACUUCAAGCAAAAUGCACAUGUGCCUUGCAAUCCAAUCAAUCUUCAAAGCAUCUGAACUUCAAAUUUGGACUUUUAGCUAUCAUUCCAUGGGCCUAUGUGCACCCAUGCACCAUUCCAUCAUCAUUUUUCCAAUUUUGGAAAGUGGAAAGAGUGUGCAAAUAUCACAUGGAUUCAUCUACAAAUACAGUUGCAUUUGCUCAUAAUUAACACACACAUUGCGCCAGCUUUGAUCCCCCAUUGAAAACCCUUCACUCUUAUAGGAUAACCCUGAUAAAUCAUUUGAAUUUGAGCUUGAAUCUCCAUUGUUUUGGAAUUCAAUUCUCCAGGAAUCCAUUGCUUCUAAACCUUUCCAUUCCUCUCCUGCAAGUGAUUGAAGUGAGUCUAAGUGCAAGCAAACUCAAGAUCCAUCAAGAUCAGACCUCUAUUGAAGGUAAUUUGCAGAAGUUUUCAACUCUUCGAUUCUCUCAAUUUAUUGCUCAAUUCCAUUGAUUCUUUGGUUGUCUGAAGUCCUACCAAUGUAGGCAAGAAGAUUGAGUUGCUUUGGGGUCAAGUCAAAGCAACUCAGAUCAUGUACCUCAUUUUUCAAUUCCACAUAUCUCUUAAUAUAUUUGGAAUUGGAGGAAUUGGAGGUUAGAUUCGAGCUCAACGCCAUUUUCUCUUUAAGAUCAUGUCCAUGUUUCUUUUUUUGGUGAUGGUUCAUGAUGACCAGUCUGAUGAAGCUCACCGGAGAAGAUGACCGGAGCUCUGGCUCCGGCGAUGAUGUGUCUUGCAUCUGAACCAUAGGAUCCUUAAGCCACGUUUUAAUCUGAAGCGUUUGUUUUAAUUACCAAUGGUACAACGCAGUUGACUCAGGAACACAUGGAACGCGCGUUUUGGAUCAUCAGAUCUGCCACCUCAAUUAAUGAGGGAGAUCUGAUGGUCCACGUAAUUUAGCAUUUUCUGAAUUUUGUUUUAAUUGCGUUUUCUUCAAUAAUUCAUAUUAAAUUCAAUAUUGAUCCAAAAAAUAUGGGACUUUCACAAAAAAAAAUCAAAUAUUUUUCUCUUUCAUAUUCUGAAUUAAAAUUAUUUUUUGGAUCAUUAUUAAUAUUUUUUCAUGAAUUAAUGAUUUUCAUUUGUUUUUAGUUGUUUAAAAAUAUUUUAAGUGUCCAAAUUAUGAAAUUUUUUUCUCCAAGGUCCUUUGACCUUGUUGACUGUGAUAAAUCUCAUGGUCAUUUCUUUGGUGUUUGAUGAGAUUUUAGGAUUUGGACAAAAUUAUUUGAAUUUAAUGCAUUAUUUUACUAUUUUUAAUUAAAUAAAUGUCAUUUUAAUUGUGCUUGACCAUUUGUAUUGACUUAGUUGAGUUUGAUUGUUUGUUGUUGGGCCUUGGUCAAGGUUGAUUUGACUUUGUCAAAUUAAUAUCAUUGGAUUUAGGGGAUUGAUGGAAUGUACAUUCCAUCUCCCAAAAUGAAUGAAUGAUAUUAAUUUGGUAAAAGUCCUCUUUUGAUCAAUUUGUGAUCUCAUUCAUCCCUUUCCCUCUUCAUCUAAUUCCCCUUCUUCAUCCAUUCAUUUUCAUUUGGCUAAUGACAUCUCAAAGUCCUAAUGCUAGUUGAUUGGAAAAUUGACAUGAGUAUCGAUGAGAUUAGGCCACACCUUUUUGCAUAUUUUUGUGUGUGGUAUGUUUAAUGAGCAUAGUCCAUAAUACUAUGUCUCCAACAUGCAUUAACACCAAAACUCCAUUGCCCGACCUCAAAUAGUUGUGAAUUCUACAUAAGUCCAAUUACGAUUGCUUAACAUAGCGCUAAAUUUGUGACAUAAAAGGCAUAAGCAUUCUAGUUAGUGAGAUUGUAAGUCACCCCUCUUCCAUGGUAUUGUGUGGAAACUUGGCCUUCUUUCCUUCCUUUGGAAGAUGUGUUGGUUCAAGGAUCCAUGCUUGUGGCAAGUGGGUUGAGUGUUCUCCAAAGAAUGUCUUGAAAUCAAAAGCAAAACAAAACUAACUUCUAACCUACUAACCAUUAACUUUUAAUUUCAAGCUUUUACUUUAAUGCAAUUUACUUUUAGCACUUUAUAUCAUUUGCCAUUAUACAUAUCAUUCUAAUUGUUUAUGUUAAUAUAAUUUUCACUUUGUCUAUUUGGACCAUAUUAUGUGAUAUAUUUUGCUUGUGUUGCUUUAUUUGUGUGGUCUUUGACCAUUUAAUGUACAUAAUAAAAACAAGAACCUUAAAAAACUUUUGUGUGGACUGUUGGCUUGAUCCGUGGACCAAUUGGACUUAGAACUUAUGCAACCUCCCUAAGCUAAUGGACUUGGCCAAUACCAAUUUGUGAAGAACCAAGUGCUUGUAAUUUAAAUUCAUCUGAUACAUCAUUCAAGAUCUCUCAAAGAUUCAUAUACUACAUUGAUCAUUGUUAAGCUGUUAUUUUGAACCUGUGACUUGUGGAAUUCAUCUGUUGCAUGGGUUAUUUUGAAGAAGAUCAUGAAGUGGAUAAGCUUGGAUGAGGCCAUAUUUAUUUGAUGCCUUGCUCUUCAAGAGAAUAUAAUUGUGCAUUUGUGUGUUGCCUGAUUCUAAAAGUCCAAGGGAAUUCUGGGUUUCUAUUGACAUACUUGUCUAUUGGAUUGCUACCCACUUGGUCAGAUCUUUUCAACUUUAAACUUAUAAAUUUUGUGCAUAGGAUAGUCUCUUAAUCUCCUCCCCAUUUCUUUAAUUUCAAAAUCUCUCCCUCCAUUUUCAAAAUCUUCUUUGUGUGAACUACUUUUGUUAUAAACUUUGACCACUUUUAAAAAGAUAGAAACUUUGGCCUUAUGCCAUUGCAUUUUCAAACUUAUUUUCUUAAAUCAAACUUGUAAAUAAACUUAAUAAUACUUGACUUAAACUUUCAAAAAACCAAAAAAGGAACUAACUCAUUCAAAUCAUUUUAGGCCUUUGUGCCUUUCAAAACUUAAAUUUUGUUAAAAUCAACACACUCACUUUGAAAUUUGUAGCACGAACUACGAGGUUUUGAUCCCUCAUUCUUAUGUUGGUACGUAGGCACAAGCCCGAAGGUCGUGUCAAACACAAAAAUAUAAUUAAUGAAUUCUUUUCUCAUUCCCCCCAUUCUAUUUGUUUGUAAACAUCACUUUGUACAAAAUACAUAUGCACACAAAAAGGGCUUCCUAGGAGUACCUAGGACAUUUUGGAUGCUAACACCUUUCCUCUGUGUAACCAACCCCCUUACAUGUGAUCUCUGACUUUUAUUAGUUUUUAUUUGAAAACUUCUUACUAUUUGGGGUUUGUUCGUACUUUUCCCCUUUUCCCUUGGAAACAAUAAAAGCGCGGUGGCGACUCUUGUUAAUUGAUCUUUAGCUUGUCAAUAGCUUGAUGAUCACAAAUUUCCCGCUAUAACUGGAUUUAUUCAAAUCUCUAUAAUCAACACACAUGCGGACUUUUCCAUCUUUCGUUGGUACAAGCACAAUAUUGGACACCCAUUGCGGAUACUCGGAGGUAAGAAGUAAACCAACAUCAAUCUGCUUUUGCACUUCUUCUUUGAUCUUACUGCCAUAUCAGGAUGCGUUCUUCUCAACUUCUGCUUGACUUGCAGGCACUCUGGCUUCAAUGGAAAUCUAUGCUCUACAAUCUCAUAAUACAAACCAGGCAUGUCUUGAUAGGACCAAGCAAACACAUCUAAAUAUUCUCGGAAAAGAUCAAUCAACCCCUUCUUAACAUCUGGACACAGUCGAGACCCAAUCUUGACUUCCUUCACAUCAUCCUCGGAACCCAAGUUGACUAACUCAAUCUGCUCUUUGAACGACUGAAUGGCUUUUCCUUCAUGCAUAAGAAGAUGAGACAAUUCAUCACUCACUUGUUCAUCACUUUCCUCCUCAGCCUCAAACACAGGGAAUUCAAAAUUUGGAGAAGGAGAAGGAUCAUUGUAUUCAAUGGGGUUAGAAACCAACCCGCAUAAUGAUUUUAUAUUUUGAUUUUAGAUAAGUGAUUUGUGACCAAAUAUUAUGCAGAUGAACAAGUUUAUUUAUUUAUUUAUGCUUUUUGUGAUUACCAUUUUCAGAAUAAAGCAAAAAGUAAAAACAAAACAUCAUAGAUGUGGAUGAAUAGAAUUAAUUUUAUUGAUGAUCAAAUUUGAAAAUUCCCAAUAAUGUUGACUUCUCCCUUAGGCAUAGGAGAAGGAUUUUUAAAAACAAAUAAAAGCAAUUACUUAGAUCGAUGCAUAAUAACAGGAAUAUCAACGGCAGUCCAAUUGUCGCAAGCCUUUCUAUGCAUCACAAAAUUGGUGCAGUCUUCCUCUUCGUCAUCCUCUAGCACAACAGCUAAGUGUUGUUCAUUUCCAUGAAUGAACCCUCUGCUACGGAAGCUAAGUUGCAUAUCCUCUGAUCUAGCAGCCGACGAUCCUUGCUGAAAACCCAGACCUGUUCUGUUUUUGUUAUCGGCAACCUCUACCACUCGCCCCUACUAAUCAACAAUUCCUUUUUCAACAAUCUUCCUUGCAUCUUUCAAUGAGGACAUAGGUGCCCCAACUCUCUUUUCAACGGAAAUAGACAAGGCUUGGAACGGAGUUCCAACCUCAUCCUCAUCUUCAACAUAAGAGAAAGAUGACAGGUGGCUAACCAACAACGCAUUUCCCCCGCCAACAAUGACUAAUUUUUUGUUCUUGACAAAUUUGAGUUUCUUAUGCAACGUGGAGGUAACAUCUCUUGCCUCGUGGAUCCAUGGCCUUCCCAAUAGACAACUAUAGGCUGAAUGGAUAUCUAUUACUUUGAAAGUAAUUUGGAAAUCACUCAGACCUAUCUUCACUAGAAGGUCCACUUCACCUAUCAUUGUUUUGCAUGAACCAUCAAAAGCUUUGAUGAUUACACCACUAUACCUCAUAGGCGCUCCUUGAUAUGACAGAUUUGAUAAUGUUGACUUCGGCAACAUAUUCAAUGAAGAUCCGGUGUCAACAAGAACAUUGGAUAAGGCGUCAUCUUUGUAAUUCAUGGAGAUAUCCAAAGCCAGAUUAUGAUUCCUACCCUCCUAAGGGAGUUCCUCAUCAUAAAAACUGAGAUUAUUGCAGGAAGUGAUGUUAGCCACAAUAUGAUCAAACUGAUCCACUGUAACAUCAUGUUCCACGAACGCUUGCUCUAGAACUCUUUGCAGUGCUUCUUUGUGCGCUUCUGAAUUCAUAAGUAGAGACAGAAAUUUUUGAGGGGGUUUGGAGCAGUUGCUCCACCAUAUUAAACUCACUUUUCUUUAUUAACCUAUGUACUUAAUCAUCAUCAUUAGUCUUCAAAUUGCUGGAUUCACCAGACUGACAUUUUGAAGCACUAAUUGGAUCUACUGCAGGCACUUCCACUUUCUUACUGACUAUUGAAUCUUCCACGUCUUUUGGGAACACCGACGCAAACACUAGAUCGUUGCGGGUCACCUUGGUAACAUCAGCAAUGCUCACGACAGAAUUGGUCGUAGGUAAUGGAACAUCUUGACCAUCCUUCACCAUAGUUGCAUUAUACUGAUAAGGCACAGCCUUAUCGGAUGUGUACGGGACUAGACCCGCCAACCGUAUGACCAACGGCGAUACCGAUCUUUGGUUGAUGUUGUUGUUACUAUUGCUAUCAUAUUGAAUUACUACUCUCUCGGGAUUCUUAAACACAAGAACGAUCACAUUCACAUCGUCAUCUACGUGACGGGAUUGUACAAUCUGGAUCAUACCCUCAUCCAUCAACCGCUGAAUGUCCCUUUUCACAAUCUCACAACCUCUUGGGUUAAUAUUACAGAUAGCACAACCAUCAUGGUCAUGUUCAUAAUCGCUCACCAAACGAAUAUCCUUGUGCAUCGUCACCAAGGACCUUCGAAUAAAACGGAUAUCAAACACUUUGAACUCCCUAAGGAAGCCAUCUACCAUGUUGACAGAUGAAUUUCCAUGAGCGGGCAAUGGGUUAGCUUUCACGUUGGGUGUGCGGUCCUCAAAAGACACCAUUACACUUUUCACUAGCUUCUAGACUUCAUAUUUGAGUGGGUAGCAGUUCUCAGUAUCAUGUCUGGGUGCUCCUUGAUGAAAAGCACAACGGAGGUCAGACUUGUACCGCCAUGGAAGUGGUUCCGGUAUUUGUGGCGGAUUUCUCAGUUGUAGCAGGUUCUUGAGAACCAAUAAUGGAUAGAGCUCUGCAUAUGUCAUAGGAAUCGGGUUGAAAGAGACCUUCUUCCUCUUGAAAGUUUAUUAUUGAUGAUUGUUGGUAUUGUUGUUGUUGUAGGUGUUUGCUCGUUAUUGUGGUUGUUGUUGUUGACGUUAUUGUUGCUGAACUAGUACUGAUUGACUAGCUGAAAAAAUGGGGAUUACGGAAGAUACAUGAUGAUGACGUUGACAGGAUGGUUGACUUCUUCUAAUUUGAGGCCUUCUCUGCCUCCCACUAGUUAUUGCGUUGGCUUCAUUGUCCUUCUUCUUACAAAAACUGCUGCCAUAUCUUUUGCUGGAUGAUACCUCCUCCUUUGACAGCCGUCCUUCUCGGACACCUUCUUCUAGCCUCAUCCUCAUAUUUACCAUUUUGGUAAAAUCACUUGGGGCAUUGGUGAUCAUCUUCUCAUAGUAAAAUGAGCUAAGGGUCUUUAGGAAAAUCUUGGUCAUCUCCUUUUCCUCUAAAGGAGGGUUGAUUUGAGCAGCGAGUUCUCUCCACCUCUGCGCAUACUCCUUAAACAUUUCCUUGUCCUUCUGAGAUAGUGACCUCAACUGAUCUCGGUUGGGAGUCAUAUCAACGUUGUACUUGUACUUCUUAACAAAUGCUUCACCAAAUCGUUGAAAGUGCGGAUGCUCACACUAUCCAACCCCAUAUACCAUCUUAGCGCAGCGCCGGUCAGACUGUCUUGAAAGUAGUGGAUUAACAAUUGAUCGUUGUCUUAUUGGGUAGACAUUUUACGGGCAUACAUCACCAAAUGACUGAACGGACAUGUGUUCCCUUUGUAUUUUUCAAAGUCAGGCACUUUGAACUUCACUGGAAUCUUCAUAUUCGGCACCAGACAUAAUUCAACAACACUCUUCCCAAAAAGGUCCUUACCUCUCAGUGUUUUCAACUCCUUGCGCAGCUCAAGAAAUUGAUCCUUCAUUUCAUCCAUUUUCUCAUAAACAUCUGGGCCCUCAGAUUGCUCAGAAUGAUGAAUGGUGUCUUUCACACGAGGUAAGGUAUGCACUACAGGCGGUGUCACAUGCAUGAAGUUUGAAGGCAUUCCCCACGGGAAUCGGCAGGCAUAGCAUGCGCGAAAUAAGUGGAAGUUGCGGGAACGGUAGAGGUAGCCACCUAUGAAAUGUCAGUCCUCUAAGGAGGAGGAGUUGCAGGUGUUGGAGAAGACUGGCUCUGCAUGACUAGAACUGACUCCAUCAUGGAAGUCAGGCGGGCGAUCUCCUCUUUCAGGUCUCUAUUCUCUUACUUAAGAUGUUCCAUGAUUUUGGAGUGAUUGGCGCGAGUAUUGUAUCGAUGAGUCAGCUUGGCUGAAGCACAGAAGAAACACCAAUGAGACAUCUGGCGAAAGAGAAACCUGCUAUGCAAAUGAUGCAUGAAGUGCAAUGCUUGAUUGUUUUUAUUUUCAAGGAACUUACUAUAUUAUUUGCAAAUAUAUAUAUAUAUAUAUAUAUAUAUNNNUAUAUAUAUAUAUAUAUAUAUAUAACAACAAUUGCAACAAUUUGAUAUGACAAAAAAAUCUCGUGUAUUUAUAUAAUUGGAAGGAUUACACUGAGUACAAUUUCAGAAACCAAAUGAAAAAUACAAGAGAAAAUGAAACUAUUCAUCCUAAGGAUCCCUAACAACAACGUCAGAAGAUUUGGAUGCAGGCGUGUACUUCCUUCGAAUGCGUCGAAUCUCAGUCUCAAAAGAAGCCUUCAUCCGAGUCUUCUCGAGGACAAGAUGAUCAACAAUCUUCUUUCAAGCAACGGAAGGCUGAGGCAUGCUAGAAGAUGAAACCUCUGGCUUUCUCUGUCUCUUUGUCACUCGAUCUUCAAGUAGCUCAAUGAGUGCAUCCUUGUCCUUAGACUCAAGCUGCAACUCCUCAUGCUUUUGGCUCAAAGCAUGGAAACGCUCUUCCCACAUAUCAUUCUCUCUCUUCAUCUUGGCGAGCGCGUCUUCCAAUUCCUCUACAUCUUGGUUAGGGAGAGUUAAUGGCUCAACCACAACCAUAGACAUAGGUCUCUCACAAGGAUAAGGCAUCUUCAACUCCAAAGCUCUCUUCUUCACCCAAGUAGUGUAAGCUUCCAAAACUACACAAUUGCGCGGACCGAGCUCGGAUCUUCCUUUCCUAUGCAUAUUAUGCCAAGCAUGCAUAAUCUUCUGCUUCAAAUGUUGGGGAUCUUUACCCUCUUGAUAGAAAAGACCUUCUAACAACAUGUUAUUAGGCUUGUGUCUCAAGGGGAACCAAAGUUGACGAUGAGCCAAAGCAGCGUUGUAGUUGAUUCCUCCUUAUGUACCAAUGAGAGGCACAUUAUAGAAUUCACCACAACUAUCAAUAAUCUCUAAACUGCUCAAAGAAGGAUCAUACCAAACUAUAUCAAUCAUUGAUGAGAGACAUAAGUCUCUAAGACCACCAUAGACAUUGUUUGUUCUCCACAAAAGCAGGCGUCUGAGGCAAGUGCGAAAUAAACAACUUGUACAGAAGAGGAAUGCAACAGACAAUAGUUCCACCACCCUUAGAAUUCCUUAGAUGCAAAGAGAAGUACAUAUCACUUAACAGAGUAGGCACAAGAUUCCCAGUCAAGAAAGUUCUAAUGGCGUUAACAUCAACAAAAACGUCAAUGUUAGGAAACAAAGUUAAUCCAUAGAUGAGUAACACAAAGAUAACUUCAAAAGCAUCCACACUACCGGCUUGAGAAAAGGCAGUAGCUUCUUUAACGAGGAAAUUAGAUGGCAACCCAAAUAAUCCUCCUUUCUUCACCCAACGAGCCUCUAUCUCAGACUUCUUCAAGUGAAGAGCUUCAACUAUAAGAUGAGAUCUGGGAAUCUCUUCCAAUCCACUAAAAGGUACCUUACUAGAAAUAGGUAUUCCCAAGAGAUGGGAAUACUCCUCCAACAUAGGCACAAGCUGAUAAUCAGGAAAAGUGAAGCAACGGUAGAGAGGAUCAUAGAAUUGCACCAAUACACUCAAAAGUCCUUCAACCACAUCAGAAGACAAGACAAAUAGAAGUUUCCCAUGACGUUGCUUGAAGUCCAAGAGAUCUAAUACAAAAUAUGCUAGCUUCCUUAACUCUUUCAAGUCGGGACAUCUGAAACUGUACUUCUUAGUAUUCCUUCGUCCAUAAUCCAUGGUCUGAAAAUAUUUGCAAAUAACACCUCAGUUCCUUGAAAUUUUCGUGUGAUGAAUGUGAGAUGCUCAUGAAUGCAUGAAUGCAACAAUCACAAAUAAGAGAUACAACACAAGGCAAUAAACAAAGGUCAAGGAUGAAUCAAGUCAUUGUCAAUGAUCAAUCAUCCAUUUUGGUGGAUUAUGGUUUACACCUUAUCAACACCCAAGUUCCAUUGAUAUUGACAAGACUUGAUUAGAUCAACCAAGAAUCAAGGGUUUGUUGUGAGUCACGAGCAUGGAGUCUGGAUAAGAACCAUCCCAAAGGAGUGAACUAAGGAUAAACCGAUAGAUCAUGUUCUAAAAAUUUUCCAAAGUCUUAAUUCCAUCUAUCGGAUAUUACAGAUUAAGAUGACUGACUCGUCGGCCCAUAAUAUUCUCAAGAGAAACUCGUCUGAGUGUAGUAUUGCGUAACAACUGUUAUCAAGUCUACACUUGAACAGUCUCCGCACUACGUCCUAAAUAUGCCAAGAGGGGUUAAAUGUUCUACGGUUCUCAGCUUCUCGGACCCCAAAUUAGAGAUAGUAAUGCCUAACCAUAAAUACUUGUGUGACAUUUCCAAAUCCAAAAGGGUAUCCACUAAGAAGAUGGAUCUUAAGCCAACUUGUUAAGUACUACUUUACACAAGUCGAACAUGACUAUACCAUCCUCUUAUCUUAAUUGCACUCAAGUUCGGGUUAGAACUUAUCUCACCACUCAUAGAUCACCAAGCACAACAAGCAAAUUAUAUCAUACAAACAAAUAUAUAGACAUCAGUUAUACAAAAUUGUAUACACACAAAAAAGUAGGAUAAACCCACUGGAGACUACUCCCCAGCAGAGUCGCCACUUAAUUUCUGUAGCGGUAAAUUCAUGAUCAUCGAGCUAUGGAUAAGCAAGACAUCAAAUAACAAGAGUCGCCACCACGCUUUUAUUGUUUCCAAAGGAAAAGGGAAGAGUACGAACAAAACCCAUAACUAAGAAGUUUUCAAAUCAAAAAUAAUAAAAUGCCAGAGAUUACAGGUAAGGGGGUUGGUUACACAAAGGGAAGAUGUUAGCAUCCAAAGUGUCUUAGGUACUCCUAGGGAGCCCUUUCUUGUGUGCAUAUGUAUUUUGUACAAAUGUUGUUUGCAAACAAAAUAGAAUGGGGGGAUGAGAACAGAAUUCAUUAAUUAUAUUUUUGUGUUUGACAAGACCUUCGGACUUAUGCCUACGUACCAACAUAAAAAUGAGGGUUCAAAACCUCGUAGUUUGUGAUACAAAUUUCAAAGUGGAUGCUUUGCUUUUAACAAAAAUUAGGUUUGAAAGGUACAAAGGCCUAAAAAAAGGUUUGAAUGAGUUAGUUCUUUUUGGCUUUUGAAAUCUUUAAGUCAAGUAUAGUUAAGUUUAUUUACAUGUUUAUUUAAGAAAAGAAGUUUAAAAUGCAAUGGCAUAAGGCCAAAGUUUCUAGUUUGAAAAAUGGUCUAAGUUUAGAAGAAAAAAAACAAGCACAAUCAAAGAAGUUUUUUUAAAGGAGGAAGAGAUUUUGAAAUUAAAGAAGUGGGGAAGAGAUGAAGAGACUAAUCCUAAACAUAAAUUUAAAAGUUAUGAGUUGAAAAGAUCUGACCAAUGGGCUGCAAUCCAAUAGACAAGAAUGUCAUAUAGAAACCCAAAUUCCCUUGGACAUUAGAAUCAAGCAUCAAACAAUGCAUACACUAUUAACUUGAAGAGAAAGGCAUCAAAUAAAGAUAGCCACAUCCAAGCUUAACAACUCCAAGAUCCUUAUUAAAUUUGCCCAUGUGGCAGAUGAAUUCCACAAUGCCAUAAAUCACAGGUUCAAAAUAACAGCUUCACAAUGAUCAUGUUGCAGAUGAACUCAAAUGGAUCUUCAAUGAUGUAUCGUAUGAAGUUUCAGAUUACAAGCACUUGGUUACAUGAAAGUUGGCAUUGGCCAAGUCCUUUGCAUAGGGAGUGUUGUCUAAAUUCUAAGUCCAAUUGUCUCAUAUCAAACCAACAAUCCACACAAGAUGUUUUUUUAUGGUUUUGGUUUUUUAUUAUGUACAUUAAUGGUCAAAGACCACACAAACAAACACAAUAUACACAAGCAAAAUAUAUCACAAAAUAUGGCCCAAAUGGACAAAGUGAAAAUGACAUUAACAUAAAUAAUUAGAAUGGUAUAAUAAUGUCAAAUGAAUAAGGCUUAAAAAUAAAAUGCAUUAAAGUAAAUGACUUGAAAUUAAAUGUUAGUUGUUAAUGAGUUAGAAGUUAGUAUUGCUUUUGCUUUUUAUUUUAAGUCAUUCUUUGGAGAACACUCAACCCACUUAUCACAAGCAUGAAUCCUUAAACCAAGACAUCUUCCAAAGGAAGGAAAAAAAAGCUAAGUCUCCACACAAUACCAUGAAAGAGGGGAGACUUACAAUCUCACUAACUAGAAUGAUAUGCCUUUUGUGUCAAAAAUUUAGCGCUAUGUUAAGCAAUCGUAAUUGGACUUAUGUAGAAGUCACAACUAUUUGAGGUCGGGCAAUAGAAUCUUGGUGUUAAUGCAUGUUAGAGACAUAGUAUAAUGGACUAUGCUCAUGAAACAUACCACACACAAAAAGAAUAUGCAAAAGUGGUGGCCUAAUCGCAUCCAUACUUAUGUUGAUUUUACAAUCAACUAGUCUUAGGAUGUAGAUAUAUCAUAGGUCCAUGAUAUGAAUGCAUAAAGAAGGGGAAUAAAAUGAAGAGGGAGGGGAAUGGAUCAAAACUCAAAUUGGACAAAGGAGGACUUUUACCAAAUUAAGAUCAUUCAUUCAUUUUGGGAGAUGGAAUGUACAUUCCAUCAAUUCCCUAAAUCCAAUGAUCUUAACUUAAGAAAGUCAAAUCAACCUUGACCAAGGCCCAACAACACAAGUCAAACUUAUGCAAAUAAUCAAAAUGGCUCAACACAAUUAUUUGGCAUUUAUUCAAUUUAAAAAUACUAAAAAUAAUGCAUUAAAUUAAAUAUGGUUUGUCAAAUUCCUAAAAUAUUAUCAAAACACCAAAGAAAUGGCCAUGAGAUUUAUCAUAGGUCAAACAAGGUCAAAGGACCUUGGAUAAAAAAAAAUUAGAAUUUUUAGAGACUUAAAAGUAUUUUUAAACAAUUAAAAAUAAUCACAAAAUCAAUUAAAUCAUAAAAAAUAUUAAUAAUGAUCCAAAAAAUAAUUUUAAUUCAGAAUAAGAAAGAGGAUUUUAUUUUAAAUUUUUUGGUGAAACUCUCAUAUUUUUUGGAUCAAGAUUAAAAUUAAUAUGAAUUAAUGAAAAUCAAAGAAAUAAAAUGAAAAUCAUAAAAUAGAAAAAAAAACAUGGACCACUUGAUCUCCCUCAUUAAUUGAGGUGGCAGAUCAAGUAGUCCUCAGCGUGCUUUCCACCAUAGUCACUAGUCAACGCGUAACACAAGUGGUAUUUACAAGCAACGCACAAGAUUAAAACAUUUUGAAUUGAUCAUGUGGCACAAGAUUAACACAUCACCGGUGCUAAACCUUUGGUAACCUUCUCAGGCGAACAUCGUCGGACUGGUUCAGUCAUCACCAUCACAUAAAUGAAAAAGGAGGACAUGAUCUGAAAGAAAAAAUGGCGUAGAGCACAAAUUUGACCUCAAUUUCAACUAUAUAAAAAAAAUGAUGAGUUGAAUUUUGAGGUGUGUCAACUGAGUUGCUUCGAUUUGACCGCAAAGCAACUCAAUCUUCUUGCCUAUAUUGGUAGGACUUCAGACAACCAAAGAUCCAAGAGAAUUGAUGAGAAUUGAGUGAGAAUCAAAGAGAAGAAAAUUUCUGGAAAAUACCUUCAAUGUUGUGCAGAACUUGCUCUUCCUUGCUUCAAUUCUUGUUUGAUCUUGCUCCAAUGACUUGCAGAAGUGGAUUAGGAAUGGAAAGAAGCUUUGGAACAAUUCUUGUUUGAUCUUGCUCCAAUGACUUGCAGAAGUGGAUUAGGAAUGGAAAGAAGCUUUGGAUCCUGGAGUUUUUGAAUCUCCAAACAGUGAGAUUCAAACUCAAUUUUCAAGUGAAAAUUAUUAGGUUUUCCUUUGAAUUGUGAGGGUUUGAAGAGAGGGGGAAAAUCUGGCGCGCAAGGAUCCUUUCAAAUGAGCUCGGAGGGUCCAUAUUUAUAGCAUUUGGAAGUGUUAUUUGCACACUUGAAUUUUCUUCCAAAUUUGGCAAUGUCAUGCACAAGUUUGCAUGGACGUGUACAGGCCCAUGAAGCAGUCCAAUUAGGUCCAAAUGCAUCUGAAAUGAGGUUGGAAUGAAGCUUGAAUGGCAAGGCAAUGUUAUGUGAUCAUUUGAACUUUGAUUUCCACCAAUGAUGUAGGCCUGUUAAAACCAUGCGCAACCCUAGCAAACUUGGUCCAAAAUAAAUGAAUUAGAACUAUUUGGAAAGCUUAGAUCAAGAGGAACAACUCUUAGGUUAAACACUUUUCCAUUUGGAACUUGGAUGAAGGUGAAUUUUGAGGUGGAAGUUUGGAAAUUUCAACAUGCUGAAAUUUUUUCUAAGUGUCAAGCCAUAUACCUCAAUGUUCCACCUUACUAAACUUUUUAUGUGAGCUCCAAAUGAGAAACGUGUCUUCAUAAAAGUUGUAGCUAUUUCAAUAACCUUCAAAAUGGUCACAAAUUUUACAUAAUUUGGAUUUAUAAUGAGAGGUUUAUGCAUUUUUUAAGUUGAGGAAAAUCACUUAUUCAAUGGUAUUGGUCCAAAAUGACCUAUAAUGUAUCCUCAUAUCACAUGCUCAUAAAAGUUGAUUUAGAUUUAACUCCAAACAUCAAAGUUGAAUUAGAUAUCUUGAAUUUGAUUUUUCAACUUGGAAAUAUUCCAUCUCAUAAAAAAUGAGCAAGUUAUGGUCUUGGGAAGUUGACUUUCAAAUUAGGGUUUAGACAAAAUGACCUAUAAUGUUUCAACAUAGAAAAUGAUUUUACAAGAAAAAUUAGCUCUAGACCUAAACAUGAAAGUUGUUUGGAAUGUCAUUUAGAGUAAAUUUUCUCUUGGAAUACUUUUCAUAUGGUGAAAAGUAUAGGGAUAGGGUCUAGGGAGACCCAGUUUUGAUGAGAUGAAUUCAUCUGGCCAACCACUAUCAACCAACUUGCUAACUUGGAAUUUUAUUAAAUUUUUAGAAUCAUGGUAGAUCACAUAUGCAUAAUAUGAUUAAUUUUGUAAUGUCCCUUGAUAAAUUUGAUCAAUUGGUGAGGAAGCUUGUUGAAGAAGUUACUCGGGAUACCUAGACAAACUAGGGUUUCCAAGGCAAAUCAACUCCAAACUCUUGAAGAAAACUUGAUCAAAAUAACAUGCAAAGAUCAUGGGGACUCAUAUAUGAUGCUUAGAGACAUUGUGGAUCAUUCCUUGGUUGUUUUCUUAGCCAUGAGGGUUUUAAACCCUGGAUAUGAACUUGAUAGAUCAAUGGGGAUCAUACCCUACCUACAAAAGAGUUAGACAAAUGCAAAGACAUAUUUUUGGUAUUUUGGUUAGUAAAAUGAUAAUAUACAAGUAUGAUACAAUCACAUGGUGCUUGGUGAUCUCUCCCCAAACAAACCCAAUGAAAUAGGGGUAAGGAGGAUGCCAAGGUAUGAUCACAAUGCUAAUGCAUAUGAUGAGAUUGCAUGAGGGAUCUUAGGGUCAAAAUUUGGGGUCUUACAGCUGCCCCUAUUUAAGGACAUUCUAACUGAGGAGGUGAAGGUUAAAAUCUUCGUAUCGACUCAGUAGAAUAGGCUUAAAUAAUAACAUAUAGAAACAAAUGUUGGUCCCUAAGAGACCUCAUGAUGCAUAUGACAUGAAUGUAAAAGCAAUUUCUUUGUGGGGAAAGGUUGCCACAAAGGAAAAGAAAUCAGAGAGACCGAAGGAGUUUCUUGUUGGAUCGAUGCGAGAACCUCACUUAGAGUAGAUUCUUUGGAUAGAGUUGAUGCCCGACAAGUAAGUUUCCAUGGGAAGCAAACAGUCUAAUGGAUCCAUUACUCUAGGAACUUUUUUGAAACCCUAGACCUUACCUGGUGAGAACCCGUUUCUAUACGAAGCAAUCAGACUUAUCCAUACCUCGAGCCUAUUGAACUUAUACAAAAAAAUGCAUCACAUUCAUCCAUAUACAUUGCAUCAACAUCAUAAAAAGCAAACUCUUAGUUGUCUCCUGUAUGUUUCAGGAAUUGAGAACUUGAAAAUGACAACUCCAAGAAGAAACACUUUCUCACUUAAGUACAAGGAACCUAAGCUUGAUAAUCUGAAAGGAUUAAUCUCUGAUUUGACUCUCAGUAAGCGUGAUGACUUCGGAAAAGACUAUGGGAAAAUUUUAAGCCUUCUAACUAAGAAAGUUGACUAUGGGAUUAUCGGCUCUUUGGCACAAUAUUAUGAUCUGCCUCUACGCUGUUUCACAUUUGAUGAUUUCCAACUAGCUCCUACUUUGGAAUAAGUUGAGAGAAUUGUGGAUCUAAUGUUGAAAUAUUUCAAUCCAUUUCCAAAGCUCAAAGAGGAAGUGGGCCCAAAGAAGAUACCUUUAGCCCUAAGUAUCAAUGUCCCAACUGUUCUAACCAAUUGGGUCGAGAAAGGGGGUUUCAAAGGUUUUGCCAUGAGGUUCUUGGAAGAAUUAGCUCUGAAAUUUAAGAAAGAAGGAAAUUGGAACACAUUCUAUACUGUGUUGGUUUUAUUGAUCCAUGGGAUUAUGCUCUUCCCAAAUGUUGAAAAGUUGAACACAUUUCUCUUAGCUGAUGUUUACCAUGCCCUUCACGCUUGAAAUGAAAAGAGGAGUGGAGCUUUGUUAUGCUGUGCUCCUUUGCUUUAUACCUGGUUCAUGCAACAUAUGUGAAAUUCUAGUUAUCAGACUUUGGAUGUCACACUGGUUGUUAUGACAUCCAAUUCUGCACAGACAGGGAUUAUGCAGAACUUAACAGUAAGUGCAGUAAAUAACACAAGUAAUUGUUCACCACUGGAUGUUGUGCACACUCAUACCUGUUAACCGACCAAGCCAGGGAGGAAAUCCACUAUUAGUAGUAUCAAUUCAAAGCUAAACUCACCCGUUUACAACUUAUCACUUAAUCCCUACCCAAUGCAAUUUCAAUCUUAACCUAAGAUCAGAGUUCCUACUCACUCCCCCUCAAUCACCUCAGUGAUAUUAAAGACACUUUGAAGUCACACUUCAAAAACAACUCUUGAUUAUGCUUCACAGCUUAAAUCAAGAUACACAGCACUCACGCUUAAAAGCUUUGAGUGACACAACACUUACAACUCAAUGAACACCCUAUGCCAAAGCAAUCAUCUACUUGAUAAUGGCUUGGCUUACAAGAUACGUCUAAUACAAGACUCACAAAAUACAGCAGUGAAGUAUGAUGGACACACUAACUCUUCACGCUUCAAAAUCCCCGAAACUGAAUGAAGGAAUGCCUUCCUUUUUAUAUUGCAGCACCUGGGCUUUUGCACCUGUAUUUUCCUGAAUUUUAGGUCACACAAGUUCCCUCAAAUUCAACAUUUAGGUUGCUAACAAAUAGGCUAUUUGUUAGGUUCAUUGAAUGUAGCUUGGUUGUUGAUUUCCUGGAUUUUCUCUCAGCUGUUGAAUCCCUAAAGAAUAGCCUGAGAAAAAGCUGAAACAGAAAACUGAACAACCUACAAUUUAGCAUAUGCUGUCAGGCAUGAAUGUCACGACAUUCAGCUUGACAUCAAGGUCCAUAUGCUGAGUCUGUUUUUCCAGAAAACAGACUGUACAAAUUUGCUGACCUGUACAUGAUCAAAAUGACCAUACUACAGUAACAGCUUACAUUAAUAAAUGUCAAAGUGUCCAACUUAACAUUUACACAUUUGGCCUUAAGUUAGUUCUGUUAUUCUCUUGAAGAACAAACUAAGUUAUAUGCUGAAGUAUAGCAGAACACCACUCUGCCUAAUCUUCAGUAGCUGCUGUCAAUGAUGAAUGUCACAACAUCCAGUUUGACAUUCAGUCAGUAGGCCUUAUGCCAGGUCUGGUUCUUCCUUGAUAACCAGACUGCAAAUAAAUACUAAGUUCUAACAGAACUCCUGCUGUUCUAUUCCUUAGUAUCUGUUGACAGGUAUGAAUGUCACAGCAUUCAAUAAUCCUGUGUUAGCUAGUCCUGCAGUAACUACAAUGUAGUCACAUAUACAUGUCAUGACAUCAGUCAAGACAUUAGUGUUUUACCAUAUAAUGCAGCCAAUUAAACACCUACAAACUCCCCCUUUGGCAAAUUUUUGGCUAAAACACUUUGAUCCCCAUAACAGAGUUCAUGGCAGCGGAAUACUACUAGCUAAUACACUCAGAGUGGCAGCACACUCACACACAUGGAAGUUAAAUAAAAACUUCGCAUAGCAGCACACACAUAUUAGAAGUUGCACCUAAACUUCAACAUCAGCUGCAGGGGGGAAUCUUCAGAUCUGUCAUGAGAGUCUGUUGUAGAGACCCACUCUGUUUGUCAGGGGUAUUGGUGGUUAUUACUCCCCCUUUUUGUCACAAAUGUUGCCAAAGCCAACAACAUAGUCAGAGCACAAUGACAGAGUUCCAGACUUGGUUUUACUUCACAGUUUCAACCAAGUUAACAUCCACUUGAUCUUGCUUCACAGCUUCGAUCAAGUGAUCACCCACUUUUGCUUUACAGUAGGUACCACCAUAUCAGAUGCCAUGAUUUUGUUUCUGACAUCCAGAACCACUCCUGCAUGAACAGCAUCCUUGAACUCCUGCAGGUACAGUGGCCUUCUCUCUGUAGGGUGUCUCCUUACCCUCUUGUAUCCACCCUUGUUGCAAGCAGCAUAGCUAUGAUCUGUUGACCAAUCAUAGCCUAGUACAAAUUGUUUAAUAGGCAGAGAUAUUAAACAAUUUAUCCCAAACAUCAGUGGUUGCUAUAAGGUCUCAGAGAGACAUAUUCCCAGUUUGCUCCUUAAGUUUUCAAACUGAGUAGCAUCCAGAGCCUUUGUAAAUAUGUCAGCCAGUUGAAGAUCCGUGGCUACAUGUUCCAAAGUGAUCACCUUGUCUUCCACCAGAUCUCUGAUGAAGUGGUGCCUAAUGUCAAUAUGUUUGGUCCUGCUGUGUUGGAUGGGAUUCUUGGAGAUGUUGAUGGCACUGAGAUUAUCACAGAACAAUGUCAUGACAUUUUGAGUGACAUUGUACUCAGUGAGCAUUUGUUUCAUCCAAACCAGUUGGGAGCAACUGCUUCCAGCAGCUAUGUAUUCAGCCUCUGCAGUGGACAGAGAGACACAAUUCUGCUUCUUGCUGAACCACGAUAUGAGGUUUUCUCCUAAGAAGAAACAUCCACCUGAUGUGCUUUUUCUGUCAUCAGCACUUCCAGCCCAAUCAGCAUCACAGUACCCAGAUAGGACAGGCUCAGACCCAUGUGAAUACAGCAUCCCAUAGUCACACGUCCCAUUGAUGUACUUGAGAAUCCUUUUGACUUGAUUCAAGUGGCUCACCUUGGGCUCUGCUUGGUAUCUGGCACACACUCCAACUGCAUAGGAAAUGUCAGGUCUACUUGCAGUUAGAUACAGCAGACUACCUAUCAUGCUUCUGUACAGGCAUUGAUCAACACUAGGCCCUCCAUCAUCUUUGGUUAACUUCAGAUGAGUAGGAGCAGGAGUCCUCUUGUGCCUGGCAUGAUCCAUACCAAACUUCUUAACUAUGUUCUUGGCAUACUUGCUUUGGGAGAGAAACAUAGAGUCCUCCAUUUGGUUUACUUGCAUUCCAAGGAAAUAGGUCAGUUCUCCCACUAGACUCAUUUCAAACUCAGACUGCAUCUGGUGAACAAAUUUUUUAACCAUUUGUUCUGACAUUCCACCAAAGACUAUAUCAUCAACAUAGAUUUGAGCUAUCAUGAUUUUGCCUUCUUCAUCCUUCACAAACAAGGUUUUAUCUAUGCCACCCUUUCUGUAUCCAUUUGAGGUCAGAAAUUCGGUUAACCUUUCAUACCAAGCUCUGGGUGCUUGCUUCAACCCAUACAAGGCUUUCUUCAACUUGUAUACAUGCUCAGGUUGGUUAGGAUCACAGAACCCUUUGGGUUGUUCCACAUAGACUUCUUCAUUCAGGUAGCCAUUCAAGAAUGCACUCUUCACAUCCAUUUGGAAUAGCUUAAACUUCAGGAUGCAUGCUACCCCCAACAGCAAUCUGAUGGACUCAAGUCUAGCCACAGGAGCAAAUGUCUCAUCAAAGUCUACUCCUUCAACUUGAGUGUAUCCUUGAGCUACUAGUCUUGCUUUAUUUCUAGUAAUUACUCCUUUCUCAUCAGAUUUGUUUUUGUAGAUCCACUUGGUACCAAUGAUGUUGGACCCUUCAGGUCUUGGAACUAGCUCCCAUACUUCAUGCCUUGUGAACUGCUCGAGUUCCUCUUGCAUGGCAAUGAUCCAGUAUUCAUCAGUCAGGGCUUCUUUCACAUUCUUUGGUUCAACCUUGGAAACAAAGCAGGAAUUUGAGUUUAUUCCUCUUGACCUGGUAGUUACACCACUGGUGGGAUCCCCUAUGAUAAGAUCCUUAGGGUGGUCUUUCUGAAUUCUGAUAGAUGGCACUUUGGUGGGUGCUUCUACUUCACAUUCAGGAGGAGGUUCCUGUACUUCUUCAGGCUUGACUGGACUGUCAGUUGGACUGUCAAGGAAUGUUUCAACAUCCUCCAUGACAUCGGUUCCUUCCUCUUUAUCAUCCACAAUGACAUUUAUGGACUCCAUCAGGACAUUGGUCCUGUAGUUGAACACUCUAUAGGCUCUGCUGUUAGUGGAGUAUCCCAGAAAUACGCCUUCAUCACUUUUGGGAUCUAGCUUCCUUCUCUGUUCACGAUCUGUGAGAAUGUAGCAUUUACUUCCAAAAAUAUGAAAGUACUUCACAGUGGGUUUUCUGCCCUUCCAUAUUUCAUACAGAGUGGAGGAGGUUCCUUUUCUCAAGGUGACUCUGUUGUGAACAUAGCACGCGGUAUUCAUUGCUUCAGCCCAAAAGUGCAUAGGGAGCUUCUUUGCAUGAAUCAUUGCUCUGGCAGAUUCUUGAAUAGUUCUAUUUUUUCUUUCAACUAUUCCAUUCUGCUGAGGAGUUAUAGGGGAGGAGAACUCAUGGCUUAUUCCUUCAGAUGAGCAAAACUCAUCAAACUUGGAAUUCUUGAAUUCAGUACCAUGAUCACUUCUAAUCCGGACCACACAACUGUCCUUUUCCCUUUGAAGUCUUAUGCACAGAUCUUUGAAGACAUCAAAUGUAUCUGACUUCUCUCUGAUGAAGCUUAUCCACGUGUAUCUGGAAUGGUCAUCAACCACCACGUAGGCAUACUUCUUCCCACCAAGACUUUCAACCUGCAUAGGUCCCAUUAGGUCCAUGUGCAGCAGUUCCAGAACUCUGGAGGUUGUGGAAUGUCCCAGCUUUGGGUGUGACAUCUUGGUUUGCUUGCCCACUUGGCAUUCUCCACAGACUCUUCCUUCAUCAAUCAGAAGCUUUGGCAUUCCUCUGACUGCUUCCUUGGAUAUGAUCUUCUUCAUUCCCCGUAAGUGGAGAUGUCCAAGUCUUCUAUGCCACAGCUUCACCUCCUGUUCUUCCUUGGCUGAGGAGCAUGUUGUGGAAAAGUUAGAGAGAUCAGGUUCCCACAGGUAGCAGUUGUCUUUGGACCUGGUUCCUCUCAUAACUUCCUGAUUGUCACCAUUUGUCACAAUGCACAGCUCCUUAGUAAACUGAACAUGAAAACCUUGAUCACACAGCUGACUUAUGCUGAUGAGGUUUGCAGUUAGUCCUCUUACUAACAGCACAUUGUUCAGUUUUGGCACUCCAGAACAGUCCAGUUUGCCCACACCUCUUAUUUUUCCUUUGGCACCAUCACCAAAAGUCACAUAGCUGGUGGUGUGAGGUUGAAUAUCUACCAGUAGAUUUUCCAUACCAGUCAUAUGUCUUGAGCAUCCACUGUCAAAGUACCAGUCUUCUCUGGAAGAAGCCCUUAGGGCAGUGUGUGCUAUCCUAGCAUACCAUUGUUGCUUCUUAAUGGGAACACAUCGCUUACGUGUUUUAUGCUUAGGUCUGACAUGUGAGGCUCUGUUAGGGAAGCCAUGAAUCCAGUAGCAGAAGGCUUUUAUAUGUCCAAGCCUGCCACAGUGGUGACACCUCCAAUUCUGGUAUAUUCUCUUCUGAUGAUCAUUCAUCCUAGCUCCUCGAUGUUGAGACAUUGGCUUUGACAUCUGCUUGAACUUCUGAACUCUAGCCUUUGGGCGUUUGUGUUCAGCUCUUUUUCCAAAUCCUAGCCCAGAUUUGGUUCCAGACUGCUGUCCCACCUUUAGAAUUUCUUCCAAGGUGUCAGUUCCCUUAUUCAUCAUUCUGAUGGAUUUGGUCAUCUGGUUCAGCUUGGAGGUCAGAAGGGCUAUCUCAUCAUUUAGCCCCUCUAUGGCAGACAGUUGCUUCUGUCUCUCAUCUUCCAGUUCCUUGAUGAGUUUCUUCUGCUUUUCUCCUUGUGCACGCACUUCUGCACUGGUGGUACACAGCUUCUUAUAUGCUGCAGCAAGUUCAUCAAAUGUCAGCUCAUCUGCACUUGUGUCAUCUUCAGAGACACACACACUGGUUAGUGCAGUGACAUGUUUGGCAGAUUCUCCUUCAGAUUCACUUUCAGAAUCUCCUUCAGACCAUGUGAUAGCUAGCCCCUUAUUUUGCAAUUUGAGGUAAGUAGGGCAUUCAGCUCUGACGUGUCCAUACCCUUCACAGCCAUGACACUGGAUUCCCUUCCCAUGGUUGAACUUCUCCUCAGAAGUUGAUCUUUUCUUAAUGUCAGACGGGAUGUUCUUGACAUUAGGUCUACCUCUUUGAUCAAUCUUCUUCAUGAACUUGUUGAAUUGCCUCCCAAGCAUGGCUAAGGCUUCUGAUAUACUUUCAUCACCUCCAGUAUAUCCUUCUUCUGACUCCUCUUCAGCAUUAGAUAUAAAGGCUAUGCUUUUCUUCUUCUCAGCAUACUCACCUAAGCCCAUUUCAAAGGUUUGGAGAGAACCAAUGAGCUCAUCUACCUUCAUAUUGCUGAUGUCCUGAGCCUCCUCUAUGGCAGUGACCUUCAUAGCAAACCUCUUAGGCAAGGACCUGAGAAUCUUUCUUACAAGUUUCUCUUCAGUCAUUUUCUCACCUAGUCCACCAGAGGUGUUUGCAAUUUCAAGAAUAUUCAUGUGAAAGUCAUGAAUAGUCUCAUCCUCUUUCAUCCUCAGAUUUUCAAACUUGGUGGUCAACAUCUGAAGUUUGGACAUCUUCACCUUGGAAGUACCUUCAUGAGUUACCUUGAGGGUAUCCCAAACUUCCUUAGCUAGUUCACAAUGGUGCACCAGCCUGAAGAUGUUCUUAGUGAUUCCAUUGAACAGUGCAUUCAAGGCUUUGGAAUUUCCAAGAGCUAAUGCCUCUUGUUCCUUGUCCCAAUCUUCUUCAGGAAUCUGCACACUGACUCCAUCUUCAUCAGUCCUCGUUGGAUGUUCCCAUCCCUUGUUGACAGCUCUCCAGACUUUGCUGUCUAGAGACCUUAAGAAGGCUAUCAUGCGAGGCUUCCAGUCAUCAUAAUUAGAUCCAUCCAACAUGGGUGGUCUGUUUGAGUGUCCUAAAUCCUUGUCCAUGGUACUAGAAAGUAACUUCCCUAGAUCUCACCCAGAACUUCACAGGCAGGGUGCCUGCUCUGAUGCCAAUUGAAAUUCUAGUUAUCAGACUUUGGAUGUCACACUGGUUGUUAUGACAUCCAAUUCUGCACAGACAGGGAUUAUGCAGAACUUAACAGUAAGUGCAGUAAAUAACACAAGUAAUUGUUCACCCAGUUCAGUCCAACAUGACCUACAUCUGGGGGCUACCAAGCCAGGGAGGAAAUCCACUAUUAGUAGUAUCAAUUCAAAGCUAAACUCACCCGUUUACAACUUAUCACUUAAUCCCUACCCAAUGCAAUUUCAAUCUUAACCUAAGAUCAGAGUUCCUACUCACUCCCCCUCAAUCACCUCAGUGAUAUUAAAGACACUUUGAAGUCACACUUCAAAAACAACUCUUGAUUAUGCUUCACAGCUUAAAUCAAGAUACACAGCACUCACGCUUAAAAGCUUUGAGUGACACAACACUUACAACUCAAUGAACACCCUAUGCCAAAGCUAUCAUCUACUUGAUAAUGGCUUGGCUUACAAGAUACGUCUAAUACUAGACUCACAAAAUACAGCAGUGAAGUAUGAUGGACACACUAAAUCUUCACGCCUCAAAAUCCCCGAAACUGAAUGAAGGAAUGCCUUCCUUUUUAUAUUGCAGCACCUGGGCUUUUGCACCUGUAUUUUCCUGAAUUUUAGGUCACACAAGUUCCCUCAAAUUCAACAUUUAGGUUGCUAACAAAUAGGCUAUUUGUUAGGUUCAUUGAAUGUAGCUUGGUUGUUGAUUUCCUGGAUUUUCUCUCAGCUGUUGAAUCCCUAAAGAAUAGCCUGAGAAAAAGCUGAAACAGAAAACUGAACAACCUACAAUUUAGCAUAUGCUGUCAGGCAUGAAUGUCACGACAUUCAGCUUGACAUCAAGGUCCAUAUGCUGAGUCUGUUUUUCCAGAAAACAGACUGUACAAAUUUGCUGACCUGUACAUGAUCAAAAUGACCAUACUACAGUAACAGCUUACAUUAAUAAAUGUCAAAGUGUCCAACUUAACAUUUACACAAUUGGCCUUAAGUUAGUUCUGUUAUUCUUUUGAAGAACAAACUAAGUUACAUGCUGAAGUAUAGCAGAACACCACUCUGCCUAAUCUUCAGUUCCUGCUGUCAAUGAGGAAUGUCAUAACAUCCAGUUUGACAUUCAAUCAGUAGGCCUUAUGCCAGGUCUGGUUCUUCCUUGAUAACCAGACUGCACUUAAAUACUAAGUUCUAACAGAACUCCUGCUGUUCUAUUCCUUAGUAUCUGUUAACAGGUAUGAGUGUCACAACAUCCAGUUUGACAUUCAUUAAAUCAUGUGUUAGCUAGUCCUGCAGUAACUACAAUGUAGUCACACAUACAUGUUAUGACAUCAGUCAAGACAUUAGUGUUUUACCAUAUAAUGCAGCCAAUUAAACACCUACAAUAUGCCCGAAAAGGCCCUUUUGUGGUAAAGGAACUUAAAUCUCCUCAAAGACUAGCUUCUCUCACUGCAAGUUCCAUUAGAUGGUAUAUCCGAGAGUGGGAAACCCCAAACAUCAUUGUCAGUUAUGGGGAAUUUCCUAAUGUACCAUUGUUAGGUAUUAAGGGUUGCAUCAAUUAUAACCCUAUGUUAUCUCGAAUGCAACACAACUACUCCAUGGAUGGUCCUCCUGAAGCAAAGGACUUACAACCAUUUAUGCUCUUUGACAUCCAAGCAAGUAAUCCUGAUGUAAGAGUGAUCCGAAAGGCUUGGUUGAAGAUUGUUAGGAAGGGUAAAGAGUUUAGAAAAAGAAACAUUCUUGUCAAAGAACCUUACACUCGAUGGGUGAAAGAAAGAGUUGAAGAAAUACAUUUGCCAUUUAUCUUUAAUGCUUUAGAUUUUCCUAAAAUUCCUGAGCCAAAGCCCACACUCCCUGAGGACAUGGAGAAACUCGCUGCUAAGGUUAAGGAGCUCGAUUUGGAGAACACCGAAUUACGGAUUCAGAUGACUCGAGCUAUCUUGGAAAAUCAAAAUUUGAAGGAUGAACGUAAGGGGAAAGCCCAGGAACUUGAAGAUAGUAAUAAGAGAGUCAGGCUAUUGGAAGACCAGAAGGAUGAUCUUGAUCAUAUCCUUAUAGGUUCCACAUCAGUGAUCCAGACCAGAAAGGAAGAGCUCAAGAAAGUUGAAUAUAGAUUUUGUGAGUUAGGAAGGAUGUUGGAUAGGUCUCUAAUGGAAAAGAAAGAAAUUAAGCUCGACUUUGAGGCACAGAUCCGUGAACUGAAGGACACUCUGAAAAAAUGCAAAGAAAAGUUGUCCCACGAGAUACUCCAAAAGGAAGAAGCUGAAAGAAACUCUCACCACCUCAAGUACCAGUUGGAAAAAGCUAAUAGGAGGUUUGCAGUUUUGGAGAGCCAAGAAGGUGAUGCAACCUACUUGCUCCUAAAGAAUGAUUGUGUGUAUUGGAAAAGGCUGUAUAGAGAGGCUAGAGCAACCUUAGAUGAAGAUCAGCAGGUCAUCGAGAAACUCCAAGAGCUUUAUGUUGAAUGGAAUGGAGAAUUCCGCAACUUAGCUAGAUUUGUUAACCUCAACAUGUUGGAACUCCCAUAAAAACUCCAAGAAGCUGAUUGGUGUAUGUGUUCAGAAAACACACCUCCUCAAGUUUUUAAUUUUGUCAAGUUUUGCAAGAAAAUGGUGAAGGAGCUCACCGCAGAUCUUGCUACGAUCAUAAGAGCUGAGAUGGAGCUUAAGUUUACUUGUACUUGAAUUUGAGUUGUUGGUGUUUAAAUCUUUUGUAUUUGAAUUUGAAUCAUUUGUACUUGAAGUUAAAUCAUUUUGUAUUCGAAUUUGAUUUUAAUUAAUGGAAGUUGUCAUUUUGGGUCUCAAUUAUUAUGUUUUAUUCUUAUUUAAUAUAUUCUAACAUUGCUGGAAUAAAUAAUAAAGAUAACUAAGAGCUUUUCACGAAAUUCACCCAUAACAUGCAUUCAUGUCAUUCUUCAAACAAAAAAAACUCAUUGUUGUGUCUUCUUCAGUUCCACACUAAGUCCUCAACAACACUAAAACACCAGAGCCAACGCUCGUCAAAGAAUGGCAGAUCAAGAACAAGAAUUGGAGAGAGUAAGCUCAGAACUUGAGGACCUACGAGGAAACAUGGGUCAAGUCAUGGAGAUACUACAAGUCAUUAAGGCCAAGUUGGACACCCAAACGACGGUUGUUUCAGAAAUUACCGGUCCUAUGACUGAACCCUAACCUGCAAGGACAGUGCCUACCACUUAGCCAGCCUACGAUUUACCUCCCGACUUUACACCUUCAGUUGAAGGCGCCCCUGGUUUUGUAUAAUCCACUAAGCAGACGGUUCCUCUACUAACUAUCAAUGAAACUCAUCCCUUGGUCCACACGUUUGCACCACCCCUUGCCCAUGCACACAUGCAACCUUAUUUUGAAGAUCAACAACAUGCUCCGGACUUUUCUGACGAAGAUGAUGAAAGGCAUGAAGACAUUAGAGGAAUGAAAGAUAAUUUCCAUAUUCUUGAGAAAAGGUUUAGGGCUAUGGAAGGUGACCAAGUAUUUGGUGAUGCUACUAGGGAGAUAUGCUUAGUGUCUGGUCUUGUGAUUCCCGUAAAAUUCAAGACCCCAGGUUUCGAUAAGUACGAGGGUCACUCGUGCCCUAAAAGUCACCUCAUUAUGUACUAUCGAAAAAUGGUUGCGCACGUAGAGGACGAUAAACUUAUGAUACAUUGCUUCCAAGACAGCUUGAGGGGUGCUCCCUCUAAGUGGUACUUAAGCCUUGAUUAAAGUAGAAUUCGUUGUUUCUAAGACUUAUCUGAUGCUUUCAUCCAGCAUUAUAAGUAUAACAUGGAUAUGGCCCCGGAUAGGAGGCAAUUACUCAGCAUGUCCCAGAAAGAUAACGAGACUUUUAAGGAAUAUGCACAACGAUGGAGGGAAGUGGCCUCGUAAGUCGAACCACCCCUUGUUGAGAAGGAGUUAGCAGAUUGGUUCAUGGAUACAGUAAAGCCCAUGUUUUAUGAAAGGAUGGUGAGUAGUGUAUUGGCAAGUUUCUCUGACUUGGUUGCGGUGGGCAUAAAAGUCGAGCUUGGAUUGAAGAAUGGAAAAAUGAUAACCACCACUGAAACAUCUGGUAAUAAUGUCAAAAAGUUUUCCGGAGAUUUUCAAAGAAAGAAAGAGGGUGAAACAAACGCAGUGUCAACUAGUCAAAGAAGGAGUCACUCAUGGAAGAAGCAAUAGCAAUUUGCUCAGUAACAACCAACUUACCCAGUGCAGUAUAUUCAACAACCGUAUGUGGUAGUAGUCACGCCAACUUUCAACCAAUCACAAGCUCAUGUUUAUCAACAUGUUCAACAAGCACCAGUAUACCAGCAAGCACCCACGGCACCCGCUUAUCAACAGCCAAGGGCACAGGCUCCACAUCCACAAAAUCUUCCAAAUCAAAAUAGGGUACAAAGAGGUAGACCUCCUUUCGCUUCAAUCCCUAUGACGUACACUGAGUUAUACCCAUCAUUGUUGCAAAAAGGGUUGGUGACUCCCAAACCAUUGGGUCCUCCACCAAAUCCUUUACCUCCAUGGUACAAUCAAGAUGCCCAUUGUCCUUUCCAUGAGGGUGCCCCUGGGCAUGAUUUAGAGGGAUGUUAUGCUUUGAAACAUAUUAUGCGAGAGUUAGUUGAGAAGAAGAUCCUUUCAUUCCGAGAUGUUGGACCCAACGUAAAAAGUAACCCUCUGCCGGCACAUGGUGAUGUUAAUUCCAUUGAGGAUGUUUAUGAUGUUUGUAUAAUAAAAAAUGUUGAAGAUGUUAAAACUCCGUUGCUAGCCCUCCAUGCAAGAUUGGUGGGAGUUGGUUUGAUUGAUACAUGUCACGAUAACUGUGAAGAAUGUGUUGUUUAUCCAAGAGGGUGUAAAUU